GUCGCCGCGGAGCCGGCAGCAGCUCCAGGGCCCGCGUCCGCCGCGGCUCGCCGUCAGCAAGGACUCGCACAAGGUCAGGAAGCCGCCCGUCGCGCCGCAGCGGCACCAGAACCAGCAGCCGGCCGCGCAUCCGCAUCAGCAGCAGUACCAGCACCAAUACCAGCAGCAGCAGCAGCAGCAGCGGCAGCCGGUCAUCAUCUACGACGCCUCGCCCAAGGUGAUCCACACCAAGCCGGGGGACUUCAUGGCGCUCGUCCAGCGGCUCACCGGCCCGGGCUCCAUCUCCCAGGCCCAAUUCGACGCCGCCGCGGCUACGGCAGGGCCGUCCGCCGCGGCGUCGUCGUCGCAGUCGCAGCCGGCGGCGAUGGAGUUCGAGCCGCGGGAGUUCCUCCUCUCGCCCACCGCCGCGCUGUCCCCGGCCGCGCGGCUGGCCGCCAUCGAGAGGUCCGUCCGCCCGCUGCCGCCGCACCACCACGCGCCGGCGCACCACGUCACUCCCUACUACGGCGCCACCGCCAACGCCAACGACGACGACGACUUCUUCCUGCCCCUCCCCGCUUCGGCGGAGGUGGACAGCCUCGCCGCGGUGCUCGGCCCGCCGGCCGCGGGCCGCCCUGGGAUCCUCUCCCCCGCGGCGCUGCCUCCGGCGGCCUCCACGGGGCUGUUCUCGCCGAUGCCGUUCGACCCGAGCUGCCUGUCGUGGCUGAGCGAGCUGAGCCCGUUCCUCCCCUCCGCCGGCACCCGCGCCACCGCCGCCGCGGCUGGGCUCCUGGACCAGGCGCCGUUCGCGCCCAGCCCGCGCAGCAGCAGCAGCCUGCUGCUGUCCACGCCCACCAUGCCGUCGCCGGCCACCUUCUCCGUGCUCGAGUUCUUCAGCAGCAACAACUUCCCCGACCUGUAAAUCAAUCUCUGGAUGAUUAUUGACCUCACAACAAUCAAUUCUACUGAUCGAUUCCAUUUCAUUACUAUACUUUUGCCGAAUUGCCGUUGCCGUCCCGUGAGAGCAACUCGAGAAAAUCAUCCAAACUGCCCGGUGAAAUUAAUUCAGGGAGACGAGCAGAAACGGAAACAAAUAGUGUUUUUCUUUUUUCUAAUACCAAAUAGUGUAAUGCUAGAGGUUUUUUUUUCCGUCGUGUUUCGUCGUCAUCGGUGGUGACUUGCGAGAGCAAGUUGGCAUUCGCCAGUGGUAGCUACUGAUUCAUCUGUUAAUUAAUUGAUUGGCCUUGUUUAGUUCUUCAAAAAUUUUGCAAAAUUUUUCAGAUUCCCCGUCACAUCGAAUCUUUAGACGUAUGCAUGAAGUAUUAAAUAUAGAUAAAAAUAAAAACUAAUUGCACAGUUUGGUCGGAAUUGACGAGACGAAUCUUUUGAGCCUAUUUAGUCCAUGAUUGGACAAUAUUUGUUAAAUACAAACGAAAUUGCUACAAUGCUCAUUUUGCCAAAAAUUUUGGAACUAAACAAGGCCAGGUAGGUAGGUAGGAGGAGGUUGCUAAUGUUCUGUCACUGUGUUUUUUUCCUUCGUUGAUUUUAUUAUUAUUAGGUGAUUAUGUUACUUGUAAACGAAGGCGGUGAUAUAAUAUUCCGUACCAUAGUUUCAUAUUUUUCUUUACCCUGGAUGGAUCCUGCUCCUGCGACUUGGUCUCAGACUGCCUGUUGGGAUUGUAUCAGCCAUCCGAUUCCACGUAGGGUGGUUGAGAUGAUCCAUCAGCUGGCGGCGAAGAAAAUGGUUAGUGAUCUCAUGACCAUAAUAACAUGGAAUUAAUUGAACCUCGAACCACAGCUUGUUCGCUUGAGAUCUGCUGAAUUUGCUAGUGAUUUAGUAAUUUUUCUCUUAUAAUAAGGCCUUGUUUAGUUCACUCCGAAAACCAAAAAGUUUUCAAGAUUCUCCGUCACAUCGAAUCUUUCGACUAGACAAAAAUAAAAACUAAUUACACAAUUUACCUGUAAAUCACGAGACGAAUCUUUUAAUCCUAGUUAGUCCAUAAUUGGAUAAUAUUUACCAUAAAUAAACGAAAGUGCUACAAUAACGAAAUAUAAAAUCUUUUCGCAUCUAAACAAGGUCUAAAUUUACGAACAGUAUUAUGGCUUAUCAGCCUAGCAAUCAAUCAGACUUUAACUUUGUUCGGUGGCGCUAGCGAUCGGCUCUGUGACUGACCAUGUGUAAUCGUCGACGAGUGCGCGCGCGCGCAGGAGAACAGAGUGCGAGUACGCCUGCUCGGCCUACGGCGCCGGCGGCGGUUGGCGGUUGGCGCCUCACAUGGCACCGCACCGCCGGCUGCCUCGUCGCGCCUCUUUGACCUGAUCCUAAACUCACCGAUCACGGUCGACUUCCAUCCAUGCUUCGAAAGUCGAAACGAGUGACAGAGUGUCCCGUUCGGACGGUCCGGGCCAUGGUAUAUUCAUACCAAGGAGAGUUUGGACAGCGGUCCAUCUUAAAUAAGAUAUAUAAUUUUUUUACAUAAAGUUUAAUCACUUAUCUUAUUUAAAAAUUUAUGUAAAAUAUUUUUUUGUCGUGGUUUGGUUUAUUAAUUAAAGUCUUUUUAAAAAAACUUAAACUUAACAAUGUUUGCAUAUUUUUUUGAAUAAGACAAGCGGUCAAACUUGGAGUCAAAAAAGUAAAAUGUCUUAUAAUUUGGGAUGUGUGUCUAUAUAUAUAUAUAUAUAUAUAUAUAUAUAUAUAGGACGUGUUUCUUUUACACGCGCGUGUAGUUACUCUCAUCUAUGUAUCUCUAGAUUUAAGGUGUAUAUAACCGGACGAAAUGUAUAUAGACAAAGUACAUGAUCAUACUAGAUCAUCUAUAUAGACAAGUAUAUGAUCAUACCGGACGAAAUGUAUAUAUAUAUAUAUAUAUAUAUAUAUAUACGUUUUCUAUACUCCCGGGAGUAGUUACUCCCUAUUUGUUUUGUAUUACAGCUACGUCAACCCCCCUGCCAUACCGGGUAGUGGAUACUCGGAGGAUCCAAUUAGGCAUGUGGCAUGCAUUUAACAAACUUAAUUAAUUAAUUAAUUAAUUAAUAUAUACACUGUACGAUCGCAGCCGUAAUUCGUUGUGGAUGAGUAUAAUAUUAUACUUACUUUUUACUUUUUAGAAUAAAGUAUUUAUGCAUACUUCAUACUUUUUAGAAUAGAGUAUUUAUACAUACUUUUUAGAUUGAAGUACCUGUAUAUACUUUCUUUUCUUCAUAAAUUAGUACCUGUAUAUAUUUUUUAGAAUAGAGUAUUUUUACAGAUUGGACUACCUGUACAUAUUUGUUUUUCUUCAUAAAAUAGUACAUGUACAUACUUUUUAGAAUAGAGUAUUUUUACAUACUUUUUGAAAUAAAGUAUGCAUGCAUACGCUAGAUUAAGAUAGUAUAAGUGCAUACUUGAAACCACACAAUCAGAGUAUAUGUGCAUUACAUUCACGUGAUAUACUGUACUCAUACAGGGGAGGACCUACGCCGGCCGUCAUCCGCAGGGCUCCGAGCCUGCCACCGUGCAGGCUGCCGGACACCAUCAGCAGCUACCACAGGCAAAAUGCAAGCACCGCACGAUCGUGCGUCGGCCGCCAUCCUCGGCUUCGAGUAGGGGCAAGCCAUCGAUACUGGGCCUUCAGAUCUGCCGACGAUGCGAGUAGGAAGGAGGAGGCGCCAUUGAAGGACCUUCACGGACCCCGUCGACUCCAGAUCGGGUGCACCAGGGAUGAGGAGAGGGGGCUCGCCGUCGCGACCCGCUAUGGUGUGGGGGCCACGCCGCCGCUAGGGGCCGCCGUCAGCGCGGGCUUGGAUAGACAACCGUUAGGGGGAAGAGGCAGGCAGGUACCGGCCACUGCGGUCGGGCGUGGAGGGGAUGGGCCGCCGCCGCCGGGUUGCGGAGGUUCCGGCUCCCAUGUGUGACUCCACCGGUUGCGGGGUUAGGGGCAUUGCUCGCUUUGAAAUACUUCGUAUUUGGAUAAGAACGUCGUAUCGGCAUAAAACUCGGAUGACACUGGACUGGACCAUAUAUCCUAUCGGGUCUACUCAUUUAUUGACCCGCUAAGAGUGAGUUAAAGGCAGAAUUAGUAAUAUACAGAGUUUGGAGGAAGGAGUAACUACUCCUAGGGAGUAGAAAAAAGUUAAUAUAUAUAUAUAUAUAUAUAUAUAUAUAUAUAUAUAUAUAUAUAUAUAGGACUGUGCUAAUGAGUACCGUGGGUACUGAUUAAUAUUUGGUACCCGAGCAUACCCACAGCAACCCGCACGAGGCCCAUCGGUGCUCCCGCCCCGCUUUCCCCCUGCACCAAUUUUUUUUGUACGUUAUUAUUUUACCGAGUUUUUUUGGUUUGUGAUUUGUGUAUCGAUUUUUUUUGUUUGUGAACUUUUUUAAUGAUUCUUUUUUGGGUUGUGAGACUUUUUGGUUUGUGGUUUUUUUAACCGCUUUAUUGCUGAUGUUUUUUUGGAACAGUCCAUAUUGCUAGUGUUUGUUCAGAGAUGCAUGUCCCAUAGCUUUUUCGUCCCUCGUCCAUCACAAUUUGGAAACAAACUUUGCCUAAAAAAAUUGGAAACAAACUUCUUAUUGUUUAUUAACAUUAACAUAGCGUUUGGCAAAUAUACAAACACCAAAUUCAUUUUCGAAAUAUGAACUCAAAUAAAAUUAGGAGAUGUUUGUUCCAAUAAAGAGCCGGCCAAAUAUAUUAUAUGUGCAUGAAGGGUAUAACUCACAAUAAUCAUACAUGCAAAUAGUAAAUCAAUAUGUUUUUUUUUCAGAAAUCAAUCAAAUGCCAAUAGUCUAAGACUAGUCUAAAGCUGCUCCUGGGGAAGUCAUGCUGUGGGUUCUCCUUAAGCAAAUUCAACUUCCCUGUUUCAAAGAAAAGAGUGUAAGGCUAAUUCAUUUGCUAUUGGCUUCUGUUUGGAGGUGUCAGCUCGUGUUGUUUUCUUUGCCUGCAUUCUGUCAAGACCCGAAUUUUGUAAUGUGUUUUUAUCUUUGAAAACUGAAAGUAGUCAGUCAUUGUUGAUUCUGCAAGUGUGCAAAGGCAUAAUCAGUGACAUUCAAAAAGAUAUAUGUUGCAUUUGACCUCCGUAGUGCACUUGGUCUUCCAAGUUAGAGUUCUCUGCUUGCAGAUUUCCUACCAUGCCGAAUGAAAGUAUUAGAAGUUGAUGCUAGAUCAUAAUACAAUUUCACAAACACAAAAAUGAUGUUUAAAGUUAGUGCCAAAGCAUAAAAAUGAGUGUUUAAAAAGUGAUGUGCUAGUGUCAGGUACCAGACAAGGUUAUACUAAAUCAAGCAUAGCUGUUUAAAUAUAGCAAAUGUUUUCACAUUACAUGUGAAGGACUGUCAAUGUCUGAUACCCAAGAAAAUAUAUGUCUAAGCAUCUAAGAAAAAAAAUCUCAUGACAGAAACCACACAAAGGUAUAGUUCUCAAAUCUAGAAUUCAAAAAGAAGUUUGAGAACAUGGUUGCAGUGAUAUGCAGAAACUUAAAGACACUAUGGAGGUUUAUGAAAAUUAGCAUCUGUGUGCACAAAAGACAAACUAGUAUGGAGUACACAGUGAAGUGGAUAGUGAAGAACUUAAACCUGAGCUGAAUAUCUUCAGCAUCCAGAUUUACUUUUUGCUAAAGAAAAUGUCAAUCGGCAUAUGCCACAUUUUUUAGAACACAAUAUAUAUAAAACACUAUUUUGUUUCAAUAAUGAGAUGCUAUGGUUCAAAUUCAUCAUGACCAAAGAUAUUAGUUUUCCAAAAAAGGUUUAUAUGGUUUCACUUGUAAAGAGGCCUCUGGUUCUGAAAUAGGCUGAUGGUGCUAACUAAAUUAGCAACUAUAAUCCUGCUAGACCAUUUAAUACACUUUGAUUGCAUAUGCCACAUUUUUUAUUGUUAAUAAUCAAGACAUAACAGAAAUAUACAUAUUGGAUUUAUAGGGUUUUGAUGUACCAAUCUAGUUUGAGUGCUGGUACCUGUUUGUGUUUUGCAAGGCUAUUGAUUGUUUAGCGCAGCUUGGGGACUCCAGCUGAUUACUGCAAGAUCAAAAUAUGGAUGUAUUUAGUCAACAAAGAUUUUUCUUACUGCAAUAAAAUAGCUGACCUUACACUGAAGUGAAGAUAGUCACAUAAAAAUCAAGAAUAUGGCAGAGAGAGAAUGUUUAGACUUUCCUGGACUAAAAAAGUUAUUCACAAUAUAGUAGCUGACAAAAAAUAAAAUCAAUAGAGCACAUCUUGACUGCACAGAAGGAUCAAAGCAAUAUGGUAACUAAGUUGAAAUGGCAAGGAGUUAAAAAGACAAUACAAGAUCCACUUUUGUUCCCACCUAGUAAGAUCUGAACUGAAUCAGGUGGACUUAAAUGGGUAGCUAAGUAAAAACUACAUAAGCAAGAGAGGAGCAUGGAGAAGGUUUCAUAUACAUGAAUAUCACAAUGCCAUGCUCACAGUUGCCAUUUAUGGAGGUGUCCAGGACAUGAGACUCAGACAAAAUAGACUACAAUGAAUUUCAAACAACAAAAAUGAAUUAAUGAUCAAAUCAGAAACUAUUUCAUAUUGAAAGGAAAUGUGAGUUUAAACGUUGUGAUGGGGAUGACAGCUUACAAAUUCAAUGGCACAACAUUGCAGUUGCAACUUCACAAACUAGUAGAACAGAGAUAAGUGCUACAUUAUUACAAAGGUAUUUAUCCCCACUUUCAGGCCAUGGCAUGUAAAAUUAAAAUUUAGAAUAAUAGGAGAGAUACCAACUAACAGAUGGCUAUACAAGAUGGAAUGGCAUAGUGAAAGGAAAUAUGCUGAUAAGUUGCGGAUUUGUUUUUCUAAUCAGGCACUUUAAUAGUAGAAGCAAUCUGGUACUGUUAAAGAAACUCAUUCUUGAACCAGUAUGUGAGAGAACUCAAUAUAGUAACAUUCACACGAACACAGAGCAUCCAAAAGACUUGCUAAUGACUAGCAUAUAAUCUGAUUUGGAUAAUUCGAGACAGAAAUCAAGUAGUGGUGUAUGAUCAAAGGUAUUUUAUGAAAUUCCUCAAUUAUAACUGGAAUCUCACCUAUGGUUGAUGCAUUCUGUACCAUGCUGCCACAAAAUCUUCUAGCUCAUUAGAGCUUGCCUGAUUAGAAAAGUGUGUGCACCAAAAAUGAUUAAUAAGUGUCCACAAAAUCACUAAACAAAAUAGAAACCCAAGUGAACAUGCUGCAACAGGAAUUAAUAAGGUGAAAACUAGAAACUUCUAGUUCAUUUGCCUGAUAAAAGUGUACAGUAAAUUAGGAAGUAUGGCAUCAUCAUAGAGUUUGCAUCAUGGACUAAAACAACCACACCCGACAGUUAAGAAAAAAUAAGGAAAAAAUAUCAAAGAGAGAAGGGAACACUAAUUAUAAUAUAACAUUUAUUGCCAGCUUCACUAACGUGAUGAAAUUUGGCCCAAAUGUUUGCUAGAGCUAGCAUGUCCUAUUUCAUAUAGUAAAUCUAAAAUACAUAGUAUCUUGCAGGAGACGUAAGCUCAAGCAUUACCUGUAUUGGAAGCAUUCAGCUUUAUGUUCGUGCAUGCAUAGGAGUGUUAGCAUGCUGUGAUUCCUAUCUACAGGCAUCCUGUAGUUCUCCGUGCAACCAAAUGUUGUUGUUUAGUCUGCAACUACAAAAAUUAUUACAAUCAAAAUUUUCAUAUUGGUUUGGUCAUUUCAUUCCAUAGUUGAACAAACAAAAUAACAGCACUCACAAUCUAAUGAAACAACAUAUAUUUGACAAAGAAGACAAACAAUUCAUUUCUUAAGACAGCAACAUUGUUGUAGGCAGAUCGUUAAUCAACCUACAUUGAUAUUGCACCAACCCUCGUGUCGAUCCAUCUAUAGGGACAGAAAUUGCAUGCAACACAAAGUAUCAGACAUUUGUCUAGAAACAAACAGCAAAUUAUCAAUUGGCAGAUAAAAAUUGAGGGGAUGAAGAGUGAGACAUUACCUUGGGCUUGAUUAACGAUUUGCCUCAGUUAUUCUCCUCCAGACAAACAUGCCUGCAUCCACCUCCAGAUCUAGCUGAGGCAGAGGAAAUUGCAAUCCCUGAGAUUUUAGGGCCAAGAUCCAACCCAUUUAAAGUUUAGGGAAGAGGAUGGGUUAGCUGCUUACCAUGGUGCAGAGAGAGAUCCACUCUAGUGGCCGCGCCUGGAGGAGAGCUGCGAGGAUGGGGUUGACGUCGUGAAGCUCCGGCCACACCAUCACACAUCGCAAGGAGAAAUGGAUCGAACACGGGGCUGCCUCUGCUCCUCAAUAGGGUUCAACAUGCGCGAUGGGAAGCGCACGGGUUUGUGCUAUGGUCACCAUCAUUAGCACUGUCCGACAGGGGCCGAGAUGAGGGUUGAGAUCUGCUUGCCGCUGUCCUCGUCGCCUGUGGUCGCGGUGCCAUCCUCGUCUCCAUGUGCUACCUCAUAGAGAAUCUGUGACUUUCUCAACCACUAUAUUUCAAACAAAACAUUAGCACUGAGUAGGCUAGUGCAAAUAUACAUGUCAGCAUGAGUCAUUCUUUCUCCUGCCCUUCUCUGAGUUUAGUACCUAUCCAUUUACAACAUAAUCAUCAUUCUUUCUCCUGCCCUUCUACCAAACUUGACGUGCCCAAAAUAAGAUCUAAAAAUCAGUAGCCAUUUAGUCCUUCAUGUUCCAUGGCAGGAAAAAAUCAUAAUAAUUUCGUUAUUUAGCACAACCACUGUAGAUGUGCAGACAACAAAUACAAAAAAUGACCUGGGAAAAGCUAGAAGAUUAAAUACUGAUUAUGUACACAAUCAGUUAGUAAACUCUAGAUGGACACCUUCAGCUAAUUAAGUAAACUAGUGUGAGCCGGACGGAACGUGACCAGCGGGCAGCGGCCUCCUCCACAAAUCACGUGUCAUGACACAGUUUUGUUUCCUCAAAUAGUGUUUGGUGUCCACCUUCAGUAUGAAUUGACCCGUACAGUACAUGCAAGACGCCUUAUGUCACCUCUGAAUACACCUCGUAUUGUCAAUUCUUUCUUGGGUAUUUGACGGAUGGUGGUACUACUACGUAUUACCACUAUUAUUGUUUUUUUUACUACUACUGUAUAAUACCCGUGCUAACGCUACGGCUUAAUUUUGGGAUGCUUCUAAAAACAAAAAUUAUAGUUCGGAAAUAUUUUUUUUGCAGUAGUAGAAGAAGCACAGUGGAAUGCACAACUGCACCUCCGAUCCAUGCAUACACAGCGAUGAGGAAAGCAAGAUACGAAUGAAGGAAAGACCUGGUUCUUCAUGCGACGUUCAGAGAUCCCUGUUGGCGUCGAACAUGGUUCCGGCGAAGGAGGUCGACGGUGAUGACAAAGACGACGUGAUACAGUCAAUGCCUUGAAAUCCCAAGCGCGGCGAUCGCUGGAAGACGGAGGUGGAUCAUGCGACCUGGCUACGGCACCAGCCCGACGACGGUCCUCCACGGCCGAGCGUCAGUUGUGGUAGAUGAAGGAGGCGGAAAUUAUGGUCUAUUCAAAAAUUGAAUCGUGCUUGACUCGUUGACAGAGGUGGAUUUCCUAAGGAGCGAGUAAUUGACGUAGAUUUUUUGCUAGUGUGCGAUCGGCAAGAAUCGAUCCCACAGCAUUAGGUUGCAGCCUUUUUUUAGUAUUCACGGAGGUUUUCUUUUAUUUAUGCGAUUGGAAGAAUCGAUCCCGCGACACGGCUGACGGAGGUUUGAUUUGACGCGAGGCUGAGGGUGUGUAAGGUCGUGAUCAUACUUCUAAUCUAGGCCGUUAAAUCUAUAGGACAUGUGUUGUGAGUCGUUGAUCUUGCAGGUGGGAUUUGCCUGGAAAAGAUUUCAAUUAUAGUAUAGAUUAGAAUGAAAAUACUAUUUGGGAAAAGCAGACACUUCAUUUCAGGAUUUUAGCAAACCUAGUAGCAAAUACCCUUGCUAGAAAAGAAUAUUUCUGAAUAUUUGUGCAGCAGGUUCAGGAAAUCAAUGAAGGCCAUGUUUGCAUUUAUAUGCGAUAAUCCUAAUUAAAAUGCAUAUAUAUUCUACAGGAACAAGCAUCCAAAGCCAGACAUUUCAAUGAACUUGGGUUUGCAUCUAGAAACAUAUAAUAUCCUGAUUGACGCUACUAGUUGGGAAUUAGAGCACCAAAUCCUUUCCCAUGAGUAACUGAAAGCUGCAUUGAACUAGCAUUGGCAAACAAAACAAUCUCACCUUGCUGCAACUGAAGAGGCCGCAGGGAACACAUCCGGCACUAGAAUCAUCAAAUUGGAUCAAGAAAGGGAAGGGGGAGGAGUAGGAGAUGGUGCAUGUCUAGUUGGGGAAGGGGAUUUGGAGGAGGAGCACCUGUAUCUGCCAGCAGUGUUGGAGGGAGCACACGCAGGAGAGGCGGCAACGGCGGUGGGCUAACAGCAGCGACAUCGCCAGGAGAGUUGCCAUUCCUUUCUCUGGGAGUUAACUGCGAGAGCUGAUGAUGAGACAUGGGCGAGCAUAAUGGUCUCACUAAAGUUGAGUUCAGUAACUGCACUUACCAACCAUUGUGCUGCUAGGAGAUUGCUUUGAAAGGAUUCCAAUAUAGUCCUGCAAAUCCAUCAAAAGACCACUAGAUUAAGAAGUUAAGCUACCACGCAUUAGAGAACAGGAACUUGAAUCACAGAGCAUAACACAUGAUUGUCUGUCACAUGGUACAGAAGAAACCUCACCUUUGCCACAUCGAGACGCUGGCAAUCCAUGGCCACCUGCUUGCAGAACGACCACUCUGCACAGGAAGAGAGCGAGAACGAGUUUAAUACUGAAAUCUAGAGUAGAGACAGCGGACGGAAGCUGCAAAAAUGGCGGAUAUGUUUUCUCAAUUUGACUAGCAAAAUCUCAGAGACUGCGAUAGAUCCCGCAGAGACAUGACACAAUCUAAACAUCUAAGGGAUAGAAUCGACAAGGGUUGAGCAGAGCAAUCCAAAUCCACCACGCCUGCAGAGAGACGAAUGGAUCGUCGUGGCCGGGAUGCGAGACUAGGGGCGAGAUCUAGCGAGAGAGAGUCAAGGAAGGAAGGGGAAGGCAGAGCGCGUUACGUUCUGAGUCGAGGCCGGAGCACGCGGAGACAUUGUUGAGGAGGGCAAGGCUGACGCGGAGGACGUGGGCGCGUGGGACGGCGGGCGCAGAACCGGCGGGCGAGGCAGAGGUAGUCCCAGGCGCCGCCAUCGUUGUGCUCCGCCUGCUCCUCCAGGCGCAGCAGGCACGCUUCAUCUUCCACCGUCAUCACCAGUAGCGACGGGGAGCUGAGAGGGUGAGAGGAUGGGGAGCGAGACGGCGCAAGGAGGCCCCUCGGCGGCGGCGAAACUAGGCUCGCGCGGCAGAGGUUGGCGGCGAGCUGGCCUCGUGCGCCGGAGGGGGUGGUGAGCUGGGCGAAAGUGCGAAACCGACAUCUCCUCCCAAGUACCCACGAUCUCGAAAUUAGAAAAAAAAAAAAACUAGAUAGGAUAAAGAGAAUGCGGGCACGGCCGCACGGGGGACGUCGUGGUGGGAGUGCCCAUGGUUGGCUCUCGACUCUCGUCUGUAAUUUAGGUUGGUUGGCUCGACUCGGGUACUGAUUAUUAUUCAGUACCCAGGGUGAUAUAUAGAAUAUAUAUAUAUAUAUAUAUAUAUAUAUAUAUAUAUAUAUAUAUAUAUAUAUAUAUACUGUUUAGUUUUGACUUGUGGUGUAUAAUAAUAUUUUUUCUACACUUAGGCUGUAGAAUAGCACUACCGUCUAUAUAUAUAUAUAUAUCAAGCUACGAUAAAAGAAGUAAUAUAUAUACAUAUAUAUAAAUUUAAGAAAAAAAUUAUAUGACCCUUCUAACUAUUGAUUUUUUUAUGAUAAACUACUUCGCUCCCAAACUAUAAAAUCGGAUUUUCUAUUCUUUAAUUUUCCAAAACUAAUGAAAUAACCCCCUCAAACGGUCUUGGACAUAGAUUUUUGCACAGUGAUAGUGGUUUUUUUUAUUUCUGCUAAAUCUUUAAAAAAUCAUAGUAAAUUAUAAAAAAUUAUAAAAUUAAAAAUCUAAUUUUGUUAGACUCCACGUGAGUAGAUCUACACAGGAAACAUAUAAUAUAAUAUGCUUUUAUGGUCUAAUUAUGGUAAAAUUUUUAUGAUAUAUUAAUUAUUAUAUGCUUGAACUAUAGUAAAAACUAGCAAACAUUCCGUGUGUUGCAAUGGGGAAAAAAUAUCUAAUAUUUUUUAGAAACAAUAACGAGAAUAAUACAUAUAUACGUUUAUGUUUUACCAUAUCUGGGAAAUCCAUCUUGGGCAUAGCAGCCUUGGGUAGAAGUUGUGUGCUGGGUAUCCUUCUUGUCUUGUCGUGGGAGAAGCUUGUGCUUGGGUGAGGUUUCAGGUUUUUCCAGUGUGUUGGCCGUUGGGGCUUGGCAAACAUAUUCUAUAGUAUAUUUUUAGGACGAUUGAAAAAUAUCCUUAUGUCGUUCUUUUUAAAAUUUCUUUAUUAUUUUUUGUUCUUUAUGCUUUGCUCUAGAUUUUAUUAUUAUUUAUUUUUGAUGGAUAUUUAAUACCAAUAUCAUUAAUCUAAAACUAUAAUACUAUUCAUUUUAUAUUAUAUAUAUAUAUAUAUAUAUAGUGAUGUUUACGUAAUAUAUGCGAUGUUCUAUAAUGUGUCUGAGUGAUAUUCUAUAAUACAUUUAGUGAUGUUCACUUAGUACAUACGUGGUGUUCUAUAAUAUAUUUUUUUUCUUUAUGUUUUGCUCUAGAUUUUAUUAUUUUUUAUGUUAUAUAUUUAUUUAUUUUUAUGUAUAUUAUAUAUUAAUUUUGUGAACCGAAAACUAGAAUAUUGUUUUUCUAAGCUGAGAGCAUAUUUUCUUAUAAAGACAGAACAUUAUUCUCUGAACUAGAAUAUUGUGUCUCCUCAAUAAAAGAAAAUGUUUUGUGUUCAUAUGAUAAAUGGUCGUUAAUAAAAAUUUAUCUAAAUAUAUCUAUGUGGAUUUUAUUUUGAAUGAUUUAUCAUAAGAAAUAUGAUGGUGUAAUCAGAUUUCAGUUUGGAUGUUUGGUUUAGAAGUUAUGAUUUUUUAAAGUUUGUUGAUAAAAGUGGAAACGAUAUGGAUGAAGUGGGUCCUGCAAGAUGGGCAGCUUGCACCAGCCACGACGUAUCUCGCUGCAGGCGUUGCGCGUGCCUGAAACUUUGCGCGGCAAAUCAUCGGACGAAGGAUGAACGCUAGCAGGCUCCAUCUAUCCAUACCUAUUUAUAUCUAUAUCUAUAUCGAUAAUAUCUAUCUCUAUAAUAUCUAUAUCUUUUAUAUACACUUUAAAAAGACUGUAGUCUCAUCAUCUACCCGGUUACAAAAUCUCGAUUCCUGCUCACGUGUCAAUGUUUGGCUGAAAAAUAUAAAGUGGAGCUGAAAAAUAUAGAGCGAAGCAGUAACAAACAUGUUUUGUGAAUCAUUUCUAAAACAUAUAUAAUCUCAUUCCGGGGACUCGCUUAUCGGAAUGUUACCGUAGCAUUAGAAGAGACUCUAUCCUAGUUCAAAAUAAGAAAACAAACUGAGAUCGAGCACUCCAUGUAUGCUACAAGAUAUGUGAUGUAUAACAUUGGGUUUAGGAAACUUUCGUUGUGUGGUGAGGGAGGGAGAGAAGGUUUAGUUAUUAGGUAAAGUGUAGUUAGUUCAAGUUGAACCUCAUCUUAUUUUUGGUUAAAAAACGAAUUGGUUUUAAUCUUUUAAAACUUCAACUUGGUCAGAACAUGCUAUGCAAAGUUUUAAUUUAAAAACCUUAAAUUACGAUUUUGAAACAGGGAAAGAGAGAAAAGGUGAUAAGGUUUUGAUCUAAGGCCUUGUUUAGUUUUCAAAAAAUUUUGCAAAAGUUUUUAGAUUCACCGUCACAUCGAAUAUUUAGACACAUACAUGGAGUAUUAAAUAUAGACAAAAAUAAAAAUUAAUUGUAUAGUUUGGUCGGAAUUGACGAGACGAAUCUUUUAAGUCUAGUUAGUCCAUGAUUUUUGGAACUAAACAAGGCCUAAUUGCUACAUGCAUCACACAAUAGCACAAUUUUUUUUUAAAAAAAAACAAGGUACAUAAAAACAACUGCUUGAAAUUUUAGGCUUCCCGCUACAAGCAAACCAUUAGGAAACUCCAUGCUCAGCUCAAUGUACCACGAUCCCUGUUAAUUAACGACUCAUUCUUUUGCACCAAAGCAAGCAAACCAAUGUACACCCUCGUCCUAGAACUUCCAUGGAAUGUACAGUACAAGAAACAGUAAUGGGCAGGCUGGCAAUCGCCACGCUCUUUUCCACAUACACGCGCAUGCAUGCAGCUAGCUCUCAUAGAUCUCGCAAGCCUACAGCUUCACCGGUAGUCCAUAGUUGUGGAAGCAUCGGAUGACCCCGUCGCGGCCGCCGGUGACGACGACCUUGUUCCAGGCGGCCGACACCUUGGUGCUGCACUCGUCCAUCCCGGCGCAGUUGACGUACUUGAGCGACGGCAGCAGCUUCUCCUCGGGCCACGUCGCGGCGCCCCUCGCUCCAUCCGCCGAGAACCACGUCCCAAACGAGCAGAACUCGCGGUCGCGGCAAAGCGUCGGGGUGGCCCCCUUCGACGACGACGACGACGACGACGACUGGAGAUCUUCUUGCUGCUGCAGCAUCCCCGGCCAUGUCGCCACGGACGUGACGCCCUUGGAGAAGAAGUGCUCGCAGGAACGAACUCUUCUUGAUGCUCCGGUGGUGGUGCUUUUGCCCGCUGCUGGCCCGUCAAAGUUCCAGAUGUAGACGUUGGAGUCGCCACCUGCUGACACAAGGUACUGGCCGUCGGAGGUCAGAGACGGCGGUACCAGGACCUUGGAGCCUCGCCGGCCUACAACGGGGACCAAGAAAACAAUGUGUAAACUUGGUACAGGCUGUAGUGUGCCUAGCUAGGCUAGGAGUAGUACUGACUACUGAGUACUGACGACAGGCAACCAAGAAAUCUAACCUUCAAACUUUCGGCUGAUCUUAGCUCCUCCAUCGGAGACUCGAAUUUUAGAACCUGCUGAAGCGAUCAUGAUCCCAGCAGGAUCACCGUUUGAAUACUGCGAGGCAGAAUAGAUUGAGCAAAUGUUUCUUAUGAGGAGGAGAAAAACACAUUGACUGAAUCACUGAACCAAAACAGCUAACCUGAAGGCUGGUGAUCUGUCUACCAGCAGAUUUCUUCUUCGUUACCUUCAUUACUUUCUCCAGUUCCACGUUUUCACCUGUAUUCAAUUCAAUUGCCUGGUUAGGAGCUAUAGAGUGUAAUACCACCAUAACCGUCUCGAUGAAUAAACUCAUACUAAACAUCAGAAAUGGCUGUUGCACCUGCAUGGUAAUAGAACCGGCACCUCCCUGAAGCGAUUCCGACAAUAAGACCCUGAGGAGGAAAGAAAUGCCUGGGUUAGCACCCAGUUAGUUGGAAAUGGUAAAACUUCAGUAGCAUUUUGAUCAGGUUUCAACCUUUCCAUCUGGCUGGUAACUCACAGCAGUUAUGAUAUCCUUUGUAUCAGCCCAGUCAACUACUCGCCUCUCUGAAACAUCCCAAACACGGACUUUGCCAUCUAUUGAGCCGCUAACGAAGUAUCUUGCGUCAACCGGAUUGGAUUGAAUGCAUGUUACUGUUACCAUAUUCAUCAUAAUAAAUAAGAAAAUAUCAGAUUCAAAUCAUGGAUAGAUGCAAAAAAAAGAAACUUUUGGCUAUACAAAUACAGUGACUUUACUGUAGAUGUCAAAGGCUAUAUGGUAUUUGUUUUUAAUGUUUGUGCAUACCAUAAUCUCUGUGCUUGAAUACUGCUAGACAGUCAUCACAGCCAACUUUCCACAUGCGUACAGUCUUGUCUUUAGAUGAAGUCAAGAGAAACUGCAGGAAAUGUUAAAUAGUCAGUUUUCAAAUUCGAUAGACAAGAACUCAGUUAUAUGAUUUGACUGAUAUGAAUGUAAAGUUGUUAACAGAACUUCACAUGCAUGUAUUACAUUCACUUAAUUCUCACAUGUGACAUGAGUGACCAAAGCAUACUGGAUAAAUAAAAGCUUACAUUUGAUUUUGACCAUGUCAUAUCCAAGAUAUCACUUGUGUGACCAUGAAACUCAUGCAGUGGUGUCUCUGCAAUGUUGAAAACUUUCUUGGGUAUUAUGGCAAGGGCUCGUCUCUGGCCUUUUCCCACCUUCAUUUUCAGGCCUUUAUUUCUGUUCAAGGAUUUGACAGGCGCCUCUCUGAUGUACAAAUCAGGAGAGGAUUCAACUUCUUGUAUCAUCCAAAUGCACACGAUGCAGUCUUCGCCGACACUCGCUAAAUACCAUCCACAUGUACUGAACUUCAUGACCCUGAUUGAACCUCCGUGGGCAUGGAUUUCUUGGCACAUGUAGAGAGCAGAGAAGUCCAUCCACUUUUUGUUCUGCUGAUAAACUUUUGUUGUAAACAAUGUGCCUGUCUUCAGGCUUUUCAUUCGUGUGUCAUGCAAACAAAUUAUAUCUUCUCCAUUCUUUCUUGUGAACUUUCCACAAAAACUCUUGGUAUCCUUUUGCUUCUCACUAAAUGCUACAUUCAUUCCCCUUGCAGGACCACGACCACUGCCCUUCUGCAAGAACUCAUGAACAAGCUGAGAGAAGCUAAGAAAACCUUCUGACUGGUCUAUAUUCAUGAUUCUGUUUGUACCAACCUCAUCAAGUAUUCCAGUCAGUUCAUGGUGCUCGCUUUCAUGAAGCACAACACUAUUCCUAGUACUAUCUGGUGCUGAUGCACAAUGAGAAAAAGACGGCCGAUAUGAAGAACAGAUGCUAUUAAUUCUUUCCUCCAGGUCACGAAAUGCACGGUCAGCCAAAAUUUCUCCCUGCCACUGCGAAAAGGUGAUUCCAGUAGGAAUGGGUUUAACAAAGCCCAUCCCAAUCAUGAAUCUGUGCCGCCUUUCAUUGACACUCAUCAAUUCACUUGUCCAGAGCUCAUCCUGAUCAGGUCCCCAUGAUGCUGAUAAUUGGUCACUUGUGCUGCACCUAGCUGAGAAAUAUGUUGAACUUCUUAUAUCAUCAGAUGUCUCCAAGAAUAUGUCAUCCUGUCCAUCGCUAUUGUACAUUUUCCUCAAGCUUCUAUGUACUAAUUAAGAAAACCUAUGACACCUCCACAUAGCCACUGUAUAAUUCGAUGGUGAUAAAACUGCCAAAAAAAGAGAGAGAGAAUGUAGAGCGUCAGGUCCACAUCAUGUGGCUAUAGAAGAAAUCAUGAUUUACAAAGCUUAGCAAUAAGGACGGCAGAUACGGUAUCACAGAAAGGACUAGGUUAUUCAAGAAUUAGAACAAAUUGCACAGCACCCAAUUGAUCACUAAAGGAAAAUGAACACAAUUACACAUCAGGAGAGAUGACUACAGAAAGAGGCUAUAGGACAUCACGACAUAGAUGCAACGAGUAGAUCAACAUAGUGAGAACAGAUUGGUACAGAAACUUGCCACACACAUGUACAGAUUUAUAUCCUACUGCUCACUCAAACUAAAGCGCAAGUGUGUCAAAACCACAAAAUCCUGAGUUUCAAAAAAAAAACACAAAAUCCUGGAGGAACAUAGCAGGUUUCCGUUUCCUAUAAGAAGGCACUUUUUUCUCGAAAUACGCAGAAAAAUAUGAAUCAUUAUAUUAGAGACAGGAAAUAGGCUUACAAUCAGCGAAUCCUACAUCAUCGUGGAGAACUGCUGCUCUUCCCAAACACUAAACAAGUUGCACUUACAACGGCCAUAUUUGGAUGCAAAGUAUUAUUAGAGUAUAUAUUGGAUAAAUAUUGUGCUGUUGCAAACUAGUUUUGUUUUUGAAUGUUGCCAUUUGUUUGGAUGUAACAGACCUUUAACUUUCCAAACCACUGUAUUGCUACAGUCCUUUAACUCCAUUCGAAACUUGCUUUUUGUAAACCACAGUUGUACAUUCCUUAGGCUCAUUAAAAAAUAGUUGCUUGAUAUCGUAGUUUUCUAAAACAAAAGCAUCCAAAUAAUCAGUUCCUUAGAGGAUGCUACAGACCUCCAAACAUCGUGAUUUGGCUACUUGGGUAUGGAGUAACCAUUCCUUCCGAAAACAAGUACUUAUAUCUUUAUUUUUCUUCCCAAAGUAUGAAAACUUGAAGAACCUAACGAGGACUUAUUAGGAGCUGGUUCACCAUAAAUUAAACCAAUCCAGAGCUGACCAAGAUGUUUAAUGAGAGAAGUGAUGGAUUUUCCCCUUAUAUUGUGAUAAACUUUUUAGAAGUCUGUAUAUUUCAGAAAGAUGGAAUAUUGAACAACAGAAAUGAGCACAAACACCACAAGAUUGCUUGGCCAGUACCGCCCUAUGCCCACGCCAACCAAUGUUGGAACCUCUCAUCCGGUCAUUCAUAUCCUUUGUAAUUGAUAACUACCCAUUACUAUCCUUCUUAAUUGAUAAUUGAUUGGUCUCCCUCUAUUCAAAAUAUAAAUGAUGUUUGAAGCAGCUAAGGGCUUCCCCACCGCAAGCUGAUAACAUUGUUGGCUUCAACUCAAACUGAUAUCCACGUAGAUAUAGAAGAAACAGAAUGGAUUAAUACAAACUACUAUUGAGGUAAAAAGGGUCCAUUUCCACCUUUUCCUCAUCCCUCCUCCCUCUCAGCUACCUCACCUUUUGUCAAACCAGUGAAACUCUUUUGCCCCGACGAACUCCAGAAAGUAUGUAUAACAUUUAGAUAAGACCAACCCCAAUGCACCAACAUGGUUAUUAGCCUCGUAGAAGGCGCGAGAGAACGAAAGGCUUGUAGUCAUGUUGCCAAGCCUCUAGCUUGUCUUAUGUUGGUGUUACUUUAAAACAUCAGUCGCACACCCCUUCUUAAUUGAUAAUUGAUUGGUAUGGCUUGGAGCCAUAUACUCCCUCUAUUCAGAAAAUAAAUGAUAUUUGAGGCAGCUAAUAAAGGCUUCUCCACCACAAGCUAACAACAUCGCUUCAACUGAAAACUGCCAUCCACGUAGACAUAAAAGAAACAGAUCCAGGUAGACAUAGAAGAAAAGGAUCCAAGUAGACAAAAGAAAUAGAACGGAUUAACAUAGACUACUCUUGCAUUAAAAAAAAUGGUCCCUUUCACCUUUCUCUCAUCCCUCCUCCCUCUCACCUAGCUUAGCUUUUGUCAAACCAGUAAAACUCUUUUGCCCCGGAUGCGCUCUAGGAAAUAUGGCCUUGUUUAGUUCACCCCAAAAUCGAAAAACUUUUCAAGAUUCUCCGUCACAUCGAAUCUUGCAGCACAUACAUGAGACACUAAAUAUAGAUGAAAAUAAAAACUAAUUACACAGUUUACCUGUAAAUCGCGAGAUGAAUCUUUAUGCCUAGUUACUUCAUGAUUGGACAAUGUUUGUCACAAACAAACGAAAGUGCUACAGUUCCGAAAACCAAAAAAUUUGGUUUUCGGAACUAAACAAGGCCUAUGUAUAACUUUUGGAUGACAUCUAACUUUGAGAUACAACCAGCUUCAACGCACCAACAUGAUUGUUAGCCUCGUGGGGCCACAUAGGCUCGGACCCCACAUGGAGGAAAGAAGACGGGGGAAGGGUGGUUAAUUUGGUAGUGUGUCAGGGUGGCUUGGACAAAAAGUAAAGAUUUGAGGAGGGAGAAUAAGGUACAUGAGAAAAAGAAAAGCUUAUAGUCAUGUUGUAGUGUCGCAUUGUCUCAUAUGAAACAACACCCCUUCUACUACAUGCAUUGCAACGAAUUAUAUGGCAGCAACUUUUUAUUCAAACCUCCGGUUCGUGUUGGUCUACAUUGGUGUUGCUCUAAAACACUUGUUCUUCGUCCCUAUUCUACUUAAUUAAUCGAUAUGGCUUCGAGCCAUAUACUCCCUCUGUUUGAAAUAUAAAUGAUGCUUGAGGCAGCUAAAGGGCUUCCCUAACGCAAGCUAAUAACAUUGAUGAUUUGAACUAAAAAAAUGUCAUCCACGUAGACAUAGAAGAAACAGAACGGAUCAACACAAACUACUCUUGAGGUCAAAAUGGCUACUUUCACCUUUUGCUCAUUCCUCCUCCCUCUCAACUAGCUCACCUUUUGUCAAACCAGUAAAACCCUUUUGUCUCGACACACUCUGGGAAGUAUAUAUAUAACUUUUAUAUAAGGCAUAAAUUUUAGAUAAGACCAGCCACAAUACACAAACGAAGUUGUUAGCCUCGUAAGACCACGUGGACGAGAGAAGGCGGGGGACGCCGCCUUGUUCGUUUGGCUGAUAAGCUAUGACAGAAAGUAUUGUUGGCUGAUAUAUUGUGAGAGUUUGAAAGUGUGUCAAGAUGCCUUGGCUAGAAAAACUAAAAGUUUGAGGAGAAAGAAAAAGUGCGUGAGAGAGAAGAAAGGCUUCUAGUUAUGUUGUAGUGUUGCCUGUCUAGAUAAGGCAUCACCUCUUUUGCAACAUGUCAUGGAACAAUAGCUGUUUCAGCAUAUAGCAGCAGAAACCUGCAGCUCGAUCGUGUUGGUCUGCAUUGGUGUUGCUCUAAAACAUUUUGUUCUCCUCGGCAAGGUAUUGUAUCAGGCAGCAUACGAGACCACUAAUCCACAUGUGAGCUUGACACCAGUGGCGGAGCUUCCUUAACUUAAACCCAGAGUGGGAUCCCAAGGCAAGACAGGCUUUGGCCGCCCCGCCGCAGUCAUGUCAGGUCGAGCAAUCCCGCCGCCCUGCCAGCGCGCGGCUGCGCCAGGAUAGAAACACGGCAGAGAAGACAGACAGCUGCCCUCCCUUUCGUUGCCAGUUCGCUGGACAGCGAGGUGACAGUAGCAGGAGCGGCGGCCGAGAGUAGGCGUGUGGCGGCGUAGUACAGUAUACUACUCCUAGCAGUAGCCAGCGAGCAGCGUGGCACUCUGCCGGUGCCGUCCCCUGCCCCUCGCCGCCGGCUGGCUGCGGCUGUGCACUGCAGGCAGGGUGGGCCGCGGGGCGGGCGUGCAUUAAAAAGCCUGCGCCGCCGGCGCGCCAGACACGGAUCUUCCCGCCCGCGUUAAAGGAGCAGUCUUUUUCCAUCGGUACGGCGCUGUUCAUUACUACUACAGCUGGGGACAAAGAGAGAAUCGAAAUGGAAAAAAAAAAGUUCAGUCUGAGCCAGCCGUCGUCGGUCGUCCCCACUCCCAACGGUGGCCAGAAGAAAGCGCUGUCAACGGGCGAGCUCGCCGCUGAAGUUCAUCGGUAUGAGGUCGCAUGAUGGUCACCGAGAAGUAUGGGAGCUCCGGACGCAUGUCUGUUUCCGGUGACCGGAAAUCACGCACGGUGAAACAGGAAGGAAUUGUCAGUUGUUGCGGAGCAGUGGAAAACAGACGCUCAGGUAACUGACGGGUACUCCUUUUCUAUCAGGGUCAAGAAGAAUGAGAUAUUGCCUUGUUGGUUAAGGUUAACCACAGCAAACAGUCCGGGUGUAUUGUAGUAGAAAACAAAAAUGGAUCUAUGCAAGUCGGACGAGGCGAACAACACAACAUCUCCUAUCUAGUCUACGUACGCUAGACUCGCAGAACCUACUCAACAAGUUACGAGAGUUCCUGCGAUCCCACCCACUUCUAGAACAGAGAACCGGUUCAUGACAAACCCUGCUGCGCCGAAACGGCACUGUUCCAUUGAGAUGGGAACAGAGAAUUCGCGCACGCACCCCCCCCCCCCCCCCCCCCCCCCCCGCCGAGAGAAAAGAGGAACGCGGAGCCCGAUCCCACGCCGGCCACCACGCCACCGUGCGUCGUCGCCGCACACAGGACGAAAUUCUACUCUGAACCACGACGAAAUCCAAAGGCAGGCAGCAGCAGCACGUACCCGCAGAUCGCCGGACAGGAUGGAUCCCCCCCGUAGCCGAGCCGAUCGAAGAAGAAGGAAAUUCUCUGCUCCGUCGUCGAUCCUCGGGAGUCGCGCAACCUCCAGAAAACCCCGACCCUCCCGCUGUGUCAGUGGUGCGAGUGCGACGCUCUCCCCAGUCGGGAUGGCUUCCCACCGAACCCAACCGGAGGGGGUGCCGCCUGUGUUAUAUCCACCCGACCCCGUGCGCCGCCGCGGCUCAUCAACAAUCAAAGCGGGCGGUCCGUCAAGCCCAGUGCCUGCCCGUAACGCUCCAUGGUGGGUAUUUCCUUGCAGUUUCCUCUCGGCGUCCCAAGGACACGCUCUCCGUGUCCGCUGGGGGGGGCGGGCGGGGUUCGUCCAUUCGUUCCAUGACGUGGGCGAGUAGCUGUCUCUUAGGCCUUGUUUACUUUCCAAAAAAUUUUGCAAAUUCUCCGUCACAUCAAAUCUUUAGACGCAUGCAUAAAGUAUUAAAUAUAAACGAAAAUAAAAACUAAUUGCACGGUUUAGUCAGAAUUGACGAGACGAAUCUUUUUAGUCUAGAUAGUACAUGAUUGGAUAAUAUUUGUCAAAUACAAACGAAAGUGGUACUAUUCCUAUUUUGUAAAAUUUUUUGAAACUAAACAAGGCCUUAGAGUUUACACCGUCUCACGCGCGUCGUCGUCCGUAUAAGAGUUUACAGACAUGGAGGGUGGGUGGGGGGUAGUCGUCCAUUACAAUAUAGACAGUAAAUAAAGUAAUUUCGACGGUGAGGAUUGUCUCACUUAGCUUGCACUUGGAUUAUGGACGUACGUGAUGAUGAAUAUCUAACGGAUCGCGACAAUUAAUAAUGAAUAAAACGAUUUUCUUAGAUCCUGCUCAAUUCUAAUGGAAUCGGCAUAUAUGGUAAUAUAUACAACUCUGCAGUUAAUGUGUGAGCUUUUUUAUUUUAUUUUAUUUUAUUAUAUGUGUUUAGUUCGUUACUGGUCUGCCCAAUUCUGCCUGUCUACGCAGUUGUGGGCGCUGGCUGGAGAUGCUAAAUGCUAGAGAUGAAAACGAUUGGGAACAGUCGGUUACAAUAAUUAUUAUGCGGAAAGCGCUUCCGUACACGCGUUAGUACAAUAACGUGGAGCUGUUUUCUUGCUAGGGCGGACGUGGAUUUUCUUUCUCUAAAUGCGAAGACUCUGAAGUUGUUAGAUUGAGUCAAGUUGUAAAACCAAACUAUUAAAUACUUUUCUUAUUAGUGUAUAAAAACUUUUUUUUAUUAUUAUUACGUCACCUUCUCUUUUCUAAACAUUCACUCAAUGUGUAAGUCCAACUUUGCAUAGGUGCUCGUAUACAACUUUGUCGCUUGCAUGAGAUCGAGCAAAGCUCUCGUCUCUCGCGUCUCCUCUGCAUCAGCAUUUGCUUCGCUGUAACGUUAUUAUUGUACUUGCUCUUAGUAUGUCUUUUAUUGUAACUUCAUUCAUUCAAACAAUAUGAUGAGUAGCAUUCAUGUUCACCCUUUCUUGUUGUACUUGCUCUUUGUUUAUAUUGUCUACAUUUACUUGCUAACGAAAAACGUCAUUUCUUAUGCAAUACAACUACUGCUUAAUUUGUUCCUUCUAGAUUUAACAUGGUGGGAGUAGAAUGGGUGGAGUACAACUACUGCUUAAUUUGUUCUUUCUAGAUUUAACAUGAUGGGAGUAGAAUGGGUGGUUGGCUGGUCAAACGAAGUAACAACACGAUUUGCACACACCAAGCCAACGUGACAUCACUUGCAUAUCAUAAACUACAUGUGCCAAGCUUACAUAAACCUCUUUUUGGCUCAUAUCCAACCCCUUUCUAGGCCACUCCAAAUUCCUGGCUACACAUCAUCACCCAAACGAAUUGGAGACAACGUACUCACUCUGUCCCUAUUUAUUAGUCAUUUUGGCUAUGGUUCUAGCUAUCUAGCAUCUUUUACGUAUAUAGAUGUUACGUGUCGAGAUUCAAAUAUUCGUUUAUGUAUCUAGGAAGAGGCCCAAAUAACAGAUAAAUAGAGAGAGAGAGAGAGUAGAAACAGCUAAUGUAGCAUGAGGAACUUAUACUUGGGUUAUAUCCGGUGGUAUUUGACAGGUCUAGAGCAACUCCAAUAGUUUGCUAAAACUCAAUUGGCAAAUCUAUAGUUUUGCCAAGUCUUAAAACCAAAUGCCAAGUAAAAAAAGAGGUCUUCUCCAACAGUUUGCUAUUUAGACUUGGCAAAAGAACUUGACAUCUUAGGAUUUUUGCCAAAGUCACAAAAUUGAGCCUCCAACAAGUUGGCAAAACUAGUUGGUAAAUUGGGAUACACGUGAUACCAAGUGAUGGAGGACUUGGCAUAUUUGCCAAGUGAAGGGGGAAUUUUGCCAAGCUCACAAAAUUGCCAAGUAGUUUUGCCAACUUGUUGGAGGCUGUUUUUUGUGGUUUUGGUAAAAAUCCUAGGAUGCCAAGUACUUUUAGCAAACUAUUGAGUUGCUCUUCAGGCUACAAAUUUUUAGCAAAGAGACUGUGAUGCCAUAAAUCUAGAAUUUUCUUUUCCUAAUAUAAAAUGGCUUCGGUCCUCCAUAACUUCAUUGCUGAUGCUGCUUUUUACGUUGCCAUAUUUAGCACACAACUCCUGUAGGAGCAGGAGCCGAAGCAGCUACUAGAGUGACACUAAACAACCUCUACAUAGCAAGUAUACAGUGCUUAUUAUACUGUUAUAACACUUGUACUUCCAAAGAAGAUUUUAGGAGAGAACUCUUUUUUAUUUACAGUGGAAGGUUAAAAGCACCUAAAAAUACCUUGCUAUUUUUAGAGCUGGUCAGUACAGAGAAAAUAUAAAAAAUUAUUGCCUCCUAAAAUCUAUUAAUAGAGAUGAGUCUCUUUACAAACCAAUCGAGUUCUCCCCAACAGCCCCCUUUCAUAUGUUCAAAAAAACAGCCCCGCCUUCAUGCCAGCCCUGGUCUAUACAAACAUCACCAGAUCUCUCUCUCUCUCUCUCUCUCUCUCUCUCUCUCUUCCCCGACACUAGUAGCCUGCUCCAUUGGGAAGGGGCAGAACAGAUCCAAGCAGCAGUAGUCUAAUUUGUGCCAUGGCACCUAAAUCCAACACGGUAGGAUGGAUCCAAGGGUGGCGGCAGCCAAAUCUGCGUCCUGGUGGCGAGAUCAAAAGCCAAAAUUUCUAGGUACAUGUCGCUUUAGGGGUUUGUUUGGUUGCUGACCAUGUUUUGCAACAUCUAAGGUUAAGUAUUUGCCACAUUAUGGCUUACCACAUUCGCGGCAAAAUGCAACUGUUUGGUUGAUUACUAAAUGGAGACAAAAUUGUGUGGCUGGUGUUUCAAUGGUGCCAUAAAAAAAUUAACAAAGUUUCCAUAUUAUAUUAAAAUCAAAAUGGUGCUUCUAAUGACCGCGCAACGGCGCUCGCAUGACUCAGCGCUUAGGCCGCCUUGUGCCCUCGCGCCUCAUCCACCCCGCGUGUCUCCCUAUCGCGGCCGUGCUCCCUAGCAGCCCGGUCUCCUCACCGCAUGCACCUCUGAUCCAUCUAACAUCCUUGUUGCUUGCCUCCGUCCUCCCACAACAACGCGACUGGUGGAUGCAGCUGUACGUGGGGCUACAAUUGUGCGUGGGACUACAACUGGUGAAAUCUUCAACUAGUUGUUAUAGCCAACCUUAGGCCUUGUUUAGUUUGCGAAAUGAAAAGUUUUCGGCUACUGUAGCACUUUCGUUUGUUUGUGGCAAAUAUUAUCCAAUCAUGGACUAACUAGAGUCAAAAGAUUCGUCUCGUGAUUUACCGGCAAACUGUCUAAUUAGUUUUUGUUUUCGUCUAUAUUUAAUAUUUUAUGCAUGUAUCGCAAGAUUCGAUGUGAUGGAGACUCUUGAAAACUUUUUGGUUUUUGGGGUGAACUAAACAAGACCUUUAUAGCUAAUUUAAACCAAAUUUUAGUACUAACUAGUUACUAUCAUACCUAUCAAACACGCUCUAAGUUCAUUUUACAUACGCCCUUGCAAUACAUAUAAUUUCUCAUUUUUACAAUUGGUUAUUUAGAGCAAGUAUUAUAGUGGGAUGUAAGCUGGUUAAUUGCUGAGGUGGAAAAGAGAAGAGAGGAGAGAGAGGAGAAGCAGACUGUAAGCUUACAGCCAGCUUAGACACAGGAACCAAGAAACUUUAUGAGAAAGAUAUGUGGACCAUGUAUUAAUAGUGAAUAGCUAACUAUUGUAUGGGUGAGCUGGUAUAAGGAUGUAAAUAACCUUAUAGCCAGCAAGUGGGACUGUAUUAUUAAACUUGAUCUUACUACUCCUAUAGUAGUCCUGCUCCUACCAACCAGACAAACUCUGCGCCAAGUCCAACGGAUGAAAAGCUUCGGAGAAGAGAAGAGGAGAGAAGCACGGUCUGCGAAUCCAGGGGACACGCCUAAACCCUACAGGGUCGGAGGCUGGAGCUACAAAAAGGCCACGGCCUUGUUUAGUUCAUGGGCGAAAUUUUUUCGCGGCACUGUAACACUUUCGUUUGUUUGUGGUAAUUAUUAUCCAAUCAUGGACUAAAUAGGCUUAAAAGAUUCGUCUCGUAAAUUUUGACCAAACUGUACAAUUAGUUUUUAUUUUUAUUUAUAUUUAAUACUUCAUGCAUGUGUCUAAAGAUUCGAUGUGACGGGGAAUCUUAAAAAAUUUUUAGAUUUUGGGUGGAAGUAAACAAGGCCGUGAUCUGAAACACAGAGAGUACCUGUCACGUCAUGGGUUAAUGGCUCCCGGCAAUCUGUCCAAAAAGAAGCCUUGCUGAAGGCCGCAAUGCGCCGCCUUUUGGCAACUUUGGAUCGGAUUGUCCGAUUGUUGUGUACUGGGGACAAGAACUUGCAGAGGUUGGAGAAUGGCUGGUUCCUGCUAGUGCUGUCCUUCCGUGGCCGGGGUGUUGAGACUUUGGGGACAUGCUUUGCCAGGGGAGGAUAUAAUAUUGUUUUAGGGCGCUGUCAACGGGAGACAAGGGGUAUAAUGGUAAGGUCAGCAGUCAUAUGAUGCCUAAGCUUGUCGCCUUGUGAUGCCGUUGGAAGAAAGCUGCCAGAGAGUGGGAGGCACAGGAAAGCGAAGUUCUGUACACCUUACAUAUAGCGAUCUGAUCUCAAAUGUCAAUUUCGAGUACAAUCCUAUUAUUUCUAAUUAGAAGAAGUCCUCUAACAAGGAGUAGCUAUCAUAUUCAAGGGAAGAAAAAAAAUACUUCCUCCAUCUUGUAAUAUAGUGUAUUCUAGCAUUCAAAUUUUGUCCUCAAAUAUAAUACAUUCUAAAAAAUAAAAACCAAUUUUACAUUUAAUACUUUCUAUUUAUUAUCAAUCAUGAUGAUGAUAAUGUCUGAUUAGGAAAUAAAAUAAGGGUACAUGCAUCUUUUAUGUUCUCUCUUAAUUUAUCUUAAAAUUAUUAGAAUGCACUAUAUUACAUGACAGAGGGAGUACAUGCUAGUCAAAUUAUGUCACAAACAACUGUCAUGACAGUUAUAAUAAUCAAAAUUAUGUCAUACAGUAUGUUGCAAGACAAGAAGAUUUCCAUAUCAAAUAGAUCAAGCAUUCAUCAAUAAGAUCUAGAAAAAUAUUUUUAUAUUUAAAAUAUUCCUUCUUUAUUCUAUUUUGUCAAAUAAAUAAAUACCUCAUCUACUACCUCUUAUAGGAAGUAAUACGUGAUCUUAACCAUCCGAACGCCUCGUAGUUAUUUGCGAGUAUUACAACAAAGUCUAACACCGUAGGGGUGUAUAUUUGUCUUGAAAAGCACUCGUAUAAUUAGUGCUUGAUAUAUUAUAACUUUAUCCUUAUAAAAUGAAAAGGUCAAUUGCAUCAAGUAAGCUGUGUAUCUAUGGAGUAGUAGGGCGCACUCGGCUUGCGCCCGCUCAGCUUGAAAUGAGAGGUAAAAGGGUACUCCCACUUGAAAGGUUUAAUUUCUAGAAUUUGUGUUAGUCAUUUUUUUAAAAAUUUAACUAACUUUAUAGAAAAGAGAAUUAAUAUCUAUAACAUAAAAUGAGGAUCUUAUGAAAAUAUAUUCUAUGAUAAAUCUAAUGAUACUAAUUUGAUAUUAUAAAUCUUAGUAUUUUUUUAGAAAUUUGAUCAAAGUUUAAAAAUUUUGACUUAAGACAAGUCUAGGAAUUGAAACUUUCAUGACAGAGGAAGUAUUUGAUUUACGAGCAAGGUCUCCUCGUGAUCUGCACGUUCUAGGAUUUUAUUCUAGGUAAGCUAAUUCUGACUCACCCGCUGUCCGCUAAAGGCAUUCCCAAUGUUAGAAACUACAUAUAGUUUCUAUACCUACUAAUUUCUAUAGACACUACAUAUAAAAAUAUGGUCCCAAUGGAUAGUUUCUACAGAAUAUUUUUUUAUCCAAUCACAUUCAUUCUCUCUUCAUUCUCAACCAAUCACAUCACUUCAUGUCUUGGUUCUCGUGUAGACAUGGUUUCUAUCUUAGAUAUGGUUUCUAUAAUUUUUGCUUUCUCUCUUUAAUAAAUACUUUGCCAUGUCAGCAAAAUGCUUAUGUGGCAAUACAAUUAAUGUUCAUAGAAACUAUGAUAGUUUCUGCAUUGGGAGUGCCUUAAUAAAGUUACGCUAGAAAGAGGUCCAGGGUUGUUUGUUUGACUGUUGAUGCACAUUCAAUGAUAAAUUGAUGGCUUAUGAGGUAAUAGCUCUAAAGAAUAUAUUUUAUAUUUUAAUAGAAGAGAGAAAAGAAUUAUCCCUUAACUAGGAGUUAAUCUUAUAAAUACUAUACUUUCUCCAUACGCGUAAAGAAAGUCGUUUAUGACAAUAACACAGUCUACAAAGCUUAACUUUGACUAUCUGUUUUUAUAAAAAAAUUUAUCAAAAAAUGGUAUAUUUAUAUUUUUAUAAAAAUAUUUUUCAAGACAAAUUUUUUCGAUAGUUUUUACAUUUCCAAAGUCAACAAUUUAAAAAUUAUUUUAUGAUUUAAAUUCCAAAUAUUUAAUCCAAACCUUGUCUAGAAUGACUUUCUUUAGGUAUGGAGGGAGUACUCUAAAAGCCAUGGCCAUGCCCAUGGGCAUGCAGGCUAUGCGACCAUAUAGGGCCUCAGAUUUUUUUGGGCCUCAAAUUUGCAUUUCAUUAGGAAUCUACAAAUUGCUGCAAGCUUGCAAUACUGCAUCAGUUCUUCCUUUCCUCUUCCACCGCCCUAUAAGGCCCCUAUUUAAGCCCCCAUAGUUAAAUAUGGGUACCAAGCCUAAAAACAACACUGUCCCUACUAGAGCCCCCAAUUAGGAGUGGGCACCCAAAUCUCCCCUACAGACCUCAUUCCUGUUGGCCCAACACCCUAGCCCCCAUCUGCAUGGUGUGGCCAUUACCUCCCCGCACCGUACAGACGCAGCCUCACCCACCUCCCUCCAACGUCGAUCUCCACUACCGCGCUCCCUCCCUCCACCUUGACCUCCACCGCUAGGCCUUGCCCUCAUCCCCUCCGGUGAGAGUGUCCCCUCCUCGAUGAGCGGGAGCAGCCCCAGCCAUGGUCGUCUCGAGUGUCGAGCCUCCCCUUCUUGCAGCCGCACGGUAGCGACACCGCUCCUCCCUUCCCUGUGGCUAGCCUCUGCUCUGACAAACAUGGGUGGAUCCAUCGGUACGCAACUCUGGUGCGGCCUCUUCCCCGCCACGCAGGCACUGCCCUGAUGCGCCAAGAGCUCUCAUCUCCUUUGCGUCCUGACCUCUCUAUGAAGGAUGUAAGAAAGAAAGAUUUGACCCAAUGACGAGUGGGUUCCACAUGCCAUUUUCUGCCAAUUUGGAUUUUGGGGCCUUCAUCUGGGUGUUGUGGUUGGAGUGGAAGCAAAAAUUUUGGGCACCUAAAAGUAGGAGGAGCACCCAAAUAAAAAGUAGAGGCCCUACUUUUGGGGCUACUGCUGGAGUUGCUCUUAACUCGUCCAUCCACCGCUCAAAGUCAGUAGAAGCUGCAAGCUGCCCCGUCCAUAGAGCCCAAUGCUUAGUAAUUGUCUUAUAUAGUUUUCUAUAUAUUGUUAGAAUUAUUUCUUUUGAUACUGAAUGCCAAACUUUAUCCAGUUUGUGUUGAGCUUUAGUACUAGAAUUAUUUCUUUAGAGGUUUGUCAUUUCAUUUUUAUAAUUUGGUAGGGCCUAUUUUGAAGUUCAGAACAAGGCCUUAGAUUUUGCCAGCACAACCCUGCUAAAAUCAUAUUCCCUCUGUCUCUAAAUAAUUGUUAUUUUCUUUUUUUUCGCGACCAUGCUUCAUGCAUGUAUAUCAUUAAGAAGGAAAUAGAGGUUUUUGUUACAAAGCAUACCCGACCAGCCUUGGAUGCGAGUAGCACACUACAACAGAGCAAAGAACACCUUGCAGCCGCAUGAACAAACAUUGCUACUAAAAGGAUUACAUGGUGACCAAAUUAAUGACUUUUUUGGGAGUCAACUAGCUAGACUGGAUGCCCAAAGUGCUGUUAGGUAGCAGUAGCCCGCCUGCAACCACCGGUCAGCUUCCUCAACAGCAAAAAUAGAUAGUGCAACACGGUACGGAUGGCACCAUGGAAGACCCUCUGGUUUCACUCCUUCCAAAGGCACUAGGCUCCCAAGAUGAUGAGGGAGUCGAAGCCUUUUCGCAUUGAUGACGUGAGCAGCGUGUGGGACGACAGCCACCAAUAGAGAAAGGCAGGACCCGAUGACGAUGUGAAGCUGGCAAGGCCAAUGGUUCUAGCACUCUGAACCAAACUUCAUGGGCAAACACACACUCAGCCUGCCAAGUGCCUAGUAGUCUCCUGGUCGGCAAAGAUGUCAUCGUCCUGCAAUCCAUGUCGCUUCUAAGGUGCCGCAGUCCAUAAGCGUUCAUGCAGCAGUAGCCAGAAGAACAACUUGCAUUUCGAUGGAGCCCAAGCCUUCCAUAGCUCCUUCGCACCCCAUAGCAAGGUCAUUCCAAUGAAGUAGUCCCAGUAAGCCAAGGAUGCAGAGUACGCACCAUCCGCAGUCUAUCUCCAUAUGAAUCUGUCGCUAGAGAGGUCAUCGAAAACCACCCCCUCAGACCUUUGCUCAAAUGAGGACAUAAUCACAUAGCACAUGUGUGGUCCAAGCACCAUGUAUACCAUGUACAUAGCUCCUGUUGUCGAUUACCUCAUGCACUGACUUCUAGCGUUGGCGCUUGUCGAUGGCGUUGAAAAGGUGCAGUGCAAAGCAGCAAAUCAGACCCUCAAGCAACCAGGAGUUGGUCUAGAACUUCGCCGAGCGACCGUCGCCAAUGAUGACCAUGACAGAUGUCUAGAACAUAGCUUGUACCGUUCGUUCUGACUUUCGCGGUACACUACACCAACCAAGCCCAGGGUGCGUGCGAUGUAGCCACUCCCAGCGUAGUCGAACGAUGAACCCCACUAUCCACAAGUCUUGAAUGGCCAGCCCACCCUAAGCUAUGGACAUGUUCACUAGCUGCCAGGCCACCCUGCACCUGCCACCUACCACAUUGUUUGUGCCCGUUUAGAGGAAGGCGCGACAAAGCUUACCAAUCUAGCAUAGCACCCAAGUGAAGAGCCCAGAGGCGAUGGAGACUGUUGACACUGUUUUUUGACACGUACCUAGGAUCGGUAGAGUGUAGAUCGACAAGAUAGUGCAGCAGUAACUGGUCUGCAGGAGAGUUGCCGAUGAGGAUGGUUGCCGAUGAAGAGGUAGCUGAAUGCAGCUAAGUCCAUGGGUGGUGAUAUGUUUAUGCCGAUGGUCAGCAUUAACCUUUGCCGAUGGCUACAAUGAAGAGUCUGCUGAUGAUGCGGGAGGAAGGCUUGAAGGUUGCCGAUUGGUCUAUGGUGGUGUCCUGGUUUGUCACGGGAGGAUAGUUUUAUGUUUUCCUUAGAUUAUUUAAAUCGUUUUGUAUACGGAUUCUGUUUAAUUUGGAAUUUGAGUUCUAGUCGUGUCUGGUUGUAGCUCUUUGAGCAGGGUAUAAAUAUAGACCCUAGGGCCUUGUAAUAACUAUCUAUCAAUCAAUCAAACACAAGUUUUUACUCAUAUUCCAGCAUCUACUUUUUCAACGACUUCGUCAUAUUUUCCCUUUUUCAUUAUGAGUUCUUAGGAGUUUGUCGACUUAAGCUCGGCGUAUUCUCGAGUUUCGCGUGAAUACCUCUUGGCCGUGACUUCCGGGCGCAUCGCUGUUGUCGAGACCAAAGUAUUCGAGUUAUCACCUUUGCCGAUAGUAAGGUCAAAUCGGCUGGCACGCCUUAACGUUUAAAUCAGGUAUUAGCCCUCUGUGUUUGCAGAUCCAGCUUUUGCAUCAACAUAUCUUUUGGCAUGCCCGGUGGGACCAGAUUCAAGAUCAAGAUCAACAUGUCGACUACCGAGUUUGACUUGGAGAACGUCAUCUCCGUGACAGAAGCUAGCCUCAAAGAUGAGCAAAAGCAAGCUAUUGCGAAGGCUAUGGAGGAUUACAAGCAACAAUGUCUCAAGGCUUUCAGCAUCAAGAGGAGUGGUGAGGUGAUCCAGAAGGAGGCACUGUCGGCCCCUCGGCAGGUUACUUUUGAAGUCAAUCCUGGUAAACUCCAAGACAUGCUCAAUAGUGCUAUCAACCGUGCCUUGAUCAACCAAGCUGGUGUGCUGUCCAAUAUGGUUUUCAAUGCCGUGGCUAGAACUUUCAAGGAAGAACAAUUGCCACCGAAUUAUGUGGGCCCUGUCUAUCAUCAGCCAGGAUCGCCAGUGGUUACGGCUCCAUCGGCUGCUACGGCCGCUGCAGGCACAGAAACUACUGUUCCUCCAAGCACGCUGGGAGUAUCUAAUGCGCAAUUCACGCCGAUGCCGUCCAAUCCAUCAACAUCAGAUGAGUCGAUCAAGCUUACUACAGAUCUAUUGGCAUCGACAAUGUCGGGAUCGGUUCCUCCUAAUUGGUGGGGUUUUGGUAUGCCCCCGGAAUACUUGAAGACACCUGGCACAUCUCAGGCACCUGUUAUGAGAGGCAAGGCUCCUAUGGCAUCGGCACCUCCAAAUAUGCCGAUGAAUUAGAGUCCCCAGUAUACUACAACCACUACUGCAAGACCUUACACUGGGAAUUCACAAGCUCCAAUGUUCCAGAUGCCUAAUGCAUCGACAGAUUCAAUGCCGACGCAGCAGGGGUUUAUGGCUCAGCAAGGGUAUGUCAACUCAAUGAUGAUGCCCAAUUGCCAGUCAUCGGUAGGACCUAUGCUGAUGAAUGCUAAUAGUGGAUGGUCUCGGCCGCAAGUCUUUCCACAGAUGCCUCAACAGAAUCAUCAGGCUACAGGGUUUCAGCAAAGCCAGAUCUACCCUGGGUUUCAGAAUCAAGGAUUGGUCAACCAGCCGAUGAAUCUCGGCCAGCAGAUUGGUGGUCAGCAGAUCGGUGGUUAACAGUUUGGUGGUCAGCAGAUCGGUGGUCAUCAGAUUGGGGGCCAGAUGAUUAACCCAAUGUUCCAUGCAGAUCGCGCACCGCAUAGACACGUGGAAGCAUAUCAGCAGAUCCCAGAUCCGCAACCACCUCAUCGGCAAGAUGCCGAUGCUUAUUGGGCUGAUAAGAUUGCUGAAGUAAUGAGAGACCAAUUUGGGAUAAAACCCAAAGUCAACACUUACUCUUAUUGGACACUGUAUCCUCCUGCAUAUGAUUUAAUCCCGCUUCCAAAUCGGUACAAAGUGUCGGAUUUUACUAAGUUUUUUGGGCAGGAUGAUACAUCAACCAUGGAACAUGUCAACAGGUUUAUCAUUCAAUGUGGAGAAGCUGCUAACAGGGACGAGUUAAGAGUCCGGUUGUUCUCGUCAUCAUUGUCUGGAUCGGCGUUCACCUGGUUUAUAUCGUUACCUCCCAACUCAGUGAUCACUUGGGCCGAUCUAGAGAAGCAAUUACACAAGUAAUUCUUUUCUGGAGUCCAUGAGAAAAACAUCACCGAUUUGGUCAAAUUGAAGCAACGCAAUGAUGAAUCGGUUGAAAGUUUUGUGCAGAGGAUACAGGAGGUCAAGAACAAGUGUUAUAGUUUAGUUCUGGACGAUCGGCAGCUAGCCGAUUUGGCUUUCCAGGGUUUGUUGCCGCACAUCAGGGACAAAUAUGCUUCUUAGGAGUUCGAGAGCCUAAGUCACUUGGUCCAGAGGAUUUCUGACCAAGAUAUUAAGCCCUUUGAACCUAAGAGGGCUUGGAACAAAAAUGUGUCAUUUGUUGAUGAGGCAGCGAGCUCGGACUCUGAUGAAGAACCAGUCAUCGGCUUGGUAGAAUGGGUAAAGAAUAAAAAGCCGAUGUCUUGCCCUUUUGGGCAUAAAGAGCCAGAAAUGUUCGCAUUUGACAUCACCAAAGCCGAUAGGAUAUUUGACUUUCUACUUCAGAAAGGUCAGAUCAAGUUGUCACCCAACCACAUGAUCCCAUCGGCUGAAGAAUUAAAGAAGAUGAAAUACUGCAAAUGGCACAAUGCAACUUCUCACAGCACCAAUGAGUGCAAAGUUUUUAGGCAAUAGCUGCAAUCAGCUAUAGAAUCUGGGAGGAUUAAUUUGACAGCUCCAAAACUCAGAAGCCGAUGAAGAUUGAUCAACAUCCUUUCCCAACAAACAUGCUGGAUGCUAAGGGAAAGGCCAAGGUCUUGACAUCAGAAGCAGCUGAAAGAAGUGUAUCGGUGGAUCCUCAGCAUCAGAUCACUACUGCCGAUGCUAAGGGAAAAGGUUUAAUCCCAGAAGGGAAUAACUCAGGGAGACCUCCCCAAUCUGGUAUAGUGAUAAUUCAUAGAAGGCCUCGGGAGACUUGGCAGCAACGUGAGGAUCGGUAUCGGCGCCAGCAAGAGGACUAUCAUCGGGAAGAAGAAAGACGCCGACAGGAGUGGAAUCGGCAUAGGGAUCACUAGAAUUGUCCGUUCUUCAUCCAUUGUUGGGAGGAAAAUAUCAAGCUUCCUACUGUCAGAGACUGCCCGGAGUGUAAUGGUUAUGAUCGGUAUGACAGAUCCGAUCGGCGCUAUCACAAUGAUGAUCGGCGAUUUAAUGGGCUGAUUAGGGGGAGAGCGUAUGUUCAUGAUAGGCUGGGGGGCAGGCUCAGCGUGCAUGAUAGGCUUGGUGACCGUGUCGAAUACUUUCCCAGGAACCUGGAAGAGCUUGAGGAGAUGGCUAAUGCAUGAGUUCCUGAUGAGUUCAUAUUUUGCAGGGAUGCCAAUACUUAUCGGAUGGAGUCAAGGGAAAAUCAUCGCCCAUCGGUAAGGCAGCAACAACUUCCUCCAUGGUGUCCAGAGGGGUUAACCAGGACACAGAAAAGGAGGCUGUAACGCGAAAGACGAGAGGAGUUGAACAAGGGCGAGAACUCUGACCAGUCUGGGGAUCAGCAACAAUCAGAUCCCAAGAGAAAAGGUCCAUCGGUAGAUGUCAAUAUGGUAUUUAUGUUGCCAAUGGAAUUCCUUGCGCCGUCCAGUGAUGAUGAGUUGGAGUUUUCUAACCAGAUAGCUCAGUUGGUUCUAGAUCCGAUGACAGCCAUCUUUGAAAAGUCUACCGAUGUUGAAAGGCAACAUCUUAAGGCUCUGUUUAUCAAAGGAAGAGUGGAUGGUCAGCCGAUGACCAAGAUUUUGAUUGAUGGUGGAGCUGCUAUCAAUAUCAUGCCAUAUAUAGUGUAUCGGAAGCUCGGAAAAGGAGACCAGGACUUGACCAAGACCGAUGUGAUGCUCAAAGACUUUGAAGGGAAUGUGUCUCCGGUCAAGGGAGCCAUCUGUGUUGAAUUGACUAUCGGCAGCAAAACCUUGCCGACAACCUUCUUCGUGAUCAGUGGGAAAGGUGCUUAUAACUUGCUGUUGGGAAGAGAUUGGAUUCAUGCCAAUUGUUGCAUCCCGUCUACAAUGCACCAGUGCUUGGCCCAGUGGAUAGGUGACAAGAUUGAGAUUGUCCCGGGAGAUUCUUCUUAUGUCAUCGCAUCGGCAGAGGCAGACACCUAUGAAAGAACUAGGUGCAUCUCGGGGAAAUUUGGGAAAGGAUUUUCUCAAAGUCGCCGAUUAUGAAAUUCCACCGAUCCAAGCAGUCGGUUCUGAUGAAGGUUUUUAAUGGAUAGGUUCGCCGAUGAUGGAAAAUUAGGCCAGGGAUUAACAUCGGCCGAUGAUUUGGUAGAGGUAGAUAUAGGUAGUGGUGAUAAGCCUAGACCUACUUUUAUUAGUGCUAAGUUAAAUUCUGAGUGUAAGCAACAGUUAACUGACUUGUUAAAGGAAUAUAAAGAUUGCUUUGCUUGGGAUUAUACUGAGAUGCCUGGUUUGGACCGAUCAAUUGUUGAACAGCGGUUGCCUAUCAAGUUUGGAUUUCGGCCAUAUCAACAGCCAGCUUGUCGAUGUAAUCCCAAUAUUCUUCUUGAUAUCAAGGCCGAAAUAACCAAACUUAUUGAAGCUAAAUUUAUUCGGCAAUGUCGGUAUGCCGAGUGGAUUUCCAAUGUUGUUCCGGUUUAUUAGAAAAAUGGGAAACUUCGGGUCUGCAUUGAUUUCAGAAAUCUUAAUAAAGCUACACCGAUGGAUGGCUACCCAAUACCAUUUGCCGAUCUGCUCGUUGAUGUUGCGGCUGGGCAUCGGAUCAUCAGCUUUAUGGAUGGCAAUGCAGGAUACAAUCAGAUAUUUAUGGCUGAAGAGGAUAUUCCAAAGACGACAUUUAGAUGUCCUGGUCAUGUUUGGUUGUUUGAAUGGAUAGUCAUGACCUUUGUCUUGAAGAAUGCUGGUGCUACUUAUCAGAGGGCUAUGAAUUUUAUAUUUCAUGAGUUCAUCGGCAAGCUGGUUGAAAUUUAUAUUGAUGAUGUGGUGGUUAAGUCUGGAGAUUUCACAAAGCAUCUUGCCAAUUUGCGAAAGGUGUUGGAAUGCACAAGGAAGCAUGGUUUGAAGAUGAAUCCCAAUAAGUGUGCAUUUGGUGUAUCGGCAGGACAAUUUCUUGGCUUCAUGGUGCAUCAAAGAGGGAUCGAAAUUAGCCGGAGAUCCAUUGAUGCUAUCAACAAAAUAGUUUCCCCUACCAAUAAGACUGAGCUCCAAUACUUGAUCGGCAACGUAAAUUUUAUCAGGAGGUUUAUAUCUAACUUAUCUGUAAAAUUCGUGCUUUCAGUCCUUUACUUAAGUUGAAAGCCGAUCAAGAGUUCAUCUGGGGAAAAGAGCAACAAUUGGCCUUGGAUGAAAUCAAGAAUUAUUUGGUAAAUCCUCCAGUUCUGAUUCCACCUCAGCAAGGGAAGCCCUUCAGAUUGUAUUUAUCUACCGAUGGGAUGGUCAUCGGUUCGGCUUUAAUUCAAGAAUUUGAAGGGAAGGAACGUGUGAUUUACUAUUUGAGUAGGAGAUUGGUUGAUGCUGAGACGAGGUAUUCGGCUAUUGAAAAGUUAUGUUUGUGUCUUUAUUUCUCAUGUAUUAAGUUAAGACACUACUUGCUAUCGGCCGAAUGCACUGUCAUAUGCAAAGAUGACGUGGUCCGGUAUAUGUUGUCUAUGCCGAUUAUGAGUGGUAGAAUCGGUAAGUGGAUUUUGGCACUGUCAGAGUUCGAUCUGCGUUACGAAUCGGCUAAAGCGGUUAAAGGACAGAUUAUGGCCGAUUUUGUGGCUCAACAUUGCGGUACAGUGGAGACUUUGGAAAUUGUGCCUUGGACACUCUUCUUUGAUGGAUCUACCUGUGACCGGGGGGCAGGAAUCGGCAUCGUGUUAAUUUCCCCUCGAGGAAGGAAGUAUGAAUUCUCUUUGCCGAUUGUUGCCACGUCAACGAAUAAUCAAGCUGAGUAUCGAACUUUGAUAAGGUUGGAAUUACUAAGGGAAGUUCAUGUUGACGCUGUUGAAAUCUUCGGGGAUUCUAUACUGAUUAUAAAUCAAUUGGCUGGAAGCUAUGAAUGCCGAAGUGAGGUCCUGAUAACUUAUUAUGAAAGGAGUAUGCAACUGUUAAAGGAAUUCAAGGAUUUCCGGUUAGAGCAUGUUCCUCGGUUGCAUAAUGAAGAGGCCAAUCGGUUGGCUCAGCAUGCCUCGGGAUAUCUGCCCAUGAUUAAUGCAAUAUCGGCAAUCGGUGCCGAUGAUUGGAGAAAAGAACUCAUUGAUUAUUUAAAGGAUCCAUCCAAGAAAGUUGGGAGACGUGUUCGGUUUCAAGCCACCUAGUAUGUGCUCCUCGAAGAUGAAUUAUAUUACCGAACUGUUGAUGGGAUUCUUCUCAGAUGUUUAGGUGAUGAUGAGGCUAAGAAUUUGAUGGGAGAAAUCCAUGAAGGAGUAUGUGGAGCACAUCAGUCGGCUUUUAAGAUGAAGUGGAUGAUUAGGAGGAAUAGGUAUUAUUGGCCGACUAUACUUGAAGAUUGCUUUAAAUAUUUCAAGGGGUGUCUAGGAUGUCAGAAAUUUGGCAAUGUUCAAAGAGCACCCGCAUCGGCCAUGAAUCCUAUCAUCAAACCUUGGCCGUUUCGAGGAUGGGCUAUUGACUUGAUCGGCCAGAUUUACCCGCCAUCCAGCAAAGGACAUAAAUUCAUUCUGGUUGCCACCGAUUAUUUUACUAAGUGGGUUGAAGCUAUUCCUUUGAAGAAGGUUACAUCGGCCAACAUGAUCGAUUUUGUGAAAGAGCAUAUUAUUUACCGAUUUGGAAUUCCUCAAACGAUCACUACCGAUUAGGGUACUAUGUUCACAUUGGGGGAGUUUGAUGAAUUUGCAAUCGGUAUGGGAAUUAAAGUAUUAAACUCUUCUCCUUAUUAUGCUCAAGCUAAUGGGCAGGCCGAGGCGUCUAACAAAGGGAUUAUCAAGCUUAUUAAGCGGAAGAUUGAAGAAAACCCUAGGAGGUGGCACACGUUGUUAAAUGAGGCUUUAUGGUCAUACCGGAUGGCUUGUCAUGGAUCGACUAAGGUUUCACCUUAUCAGUUGGUAUAUGGGCAUGAUGCGGUGUUACCUUGGGAAAUUAAGACUGGGUCUAGGCGACUAUCUUUUCACGAUCAAUUAGCUGCCGAUGAUUAUGCUACUUUGAUGACAGACGAGUUGGAUGAUCUAGCAGGACAUCGGCUAAGGGCUUUGAUGAGUAUAGAAGAGAAUAAGAAGAGAGUUGCCAGAUGGUAUGAUAAGAAGGUAAAAGCUAAGGAGUUUGCCGAUAGAGACUUAGUAUGAAAGCUAAUCUUACCGAUCGGGACUAAAAGUUCAAAAUUUGGGAAGUGGUCUCCCAAUUGGGAAGGUCCCUAUCGCAUAAGUCGAUCGGCUCCUGGUAACGCCUAUAUUUUAGAAACUCUUGAAGGAGUUGAAUUUCCCAGAGCAUUAAAUGGCAAAUAUCUAAAAAAGUAUUACCCAAGCAUAUGGGUCGAUGCGUAAAAGUUUAAGUGCCGAUAACAUUCCUAUCGGCUGGAUCAAAAUGUAUCUGGGGGUGGACUUAAUGUUUUAAAAGGCGCCGAUAACAGUCCUAUCGGAUAGACCAAAAUACUAGGGUUGUUCAAAAGAAAAGAGCGAGCAUGUUGCCGAUGAAGAGUUCACAUGUUCAGCAGCGUCUGGAUCACCGAUAUGGCGCGCAGGCAGAUCUGGUUGGCUGCUUCUAUCUCUUUGAUAUCUUCAUCGGCAGAGCCUUCCACCAGCUUCAACUUCUUCUUCAUCUGCAGCGCUCUACGGCCAUGGACAUUUCACUCUUGUUCAAGGAGUUUGAUCGCCUCGGGCAGCUGGCUUUCCUCUUGUUGAGCUUGGGACAAGGCUUCUUCCACUUGUUUGAGUUCUGCCAACAGGGCUUCUCUUUUGGCUGACAGAUCAGAGAUCUUGUGCUUCAGUGCAUCUCCUGAGGACUUCAAGAUGCCGAUGUUCUUGUGCUUCUCAUCGGCAAGGAGCUUCACUUUCAUCAUCUUCUCGGAAAGCUGAGUCUGAGCAGCUAUGUCGGCAAGACGCUGGGUGGCCUUUUGGUAUUGCAGCUGACGGCUCUCCAGAUGUGCAGCUUGAAAAAGGAUUUCUUCAGCAUCGGCAGGAAUUUGGCUUCUGAGGAUCUUGAACAAAGCCUUAGACGGGUCAGAAUCAUCGACCAGUUGGGCUGUGUCUUGAUGAAGGAAGGCUGAUAGUUCUUCUAACUUUGCCCUGAUGUAACAUCCCCGAUGUUACGGUUACUAAAAUUUGGAACAUGUCAUCAUUAGCAUUGCACAACAUAUUUGUUAAGCACACCCUGAUGCAUUACCUUAAAACAAGUUUAAUUUGGUUGAAUGUGCUUAGGGAAUUAAAGUGUGUUUCUAUUGUGUAUUGAUGCUUGUGUUGGUUGCUAAAACCCUAGGGUGAAAGUUUUCCGAGAGGUUAGGGGGGGAAACCCUGAUUUUUUUUUGAACCCUAGAAUUGCCCAUUUUGCACAAUUUUAAAACUAAGCAAAAUUUGAGGUUGAGUUCAAAAGCAAAGUUGUAGAUCUUGUCAAGGGGUACAACUUUGUUGUUUUGAGUUUUUGAAGUUUCAAUACAAAAUUCAAAGUAAUUUUGAAAAUACAGAUUUCCAGAAAGUGUCCCCUUUUCCAAUUUGAAUCUCCAAUUCAAAAUCCAUUUGGAAUUUUGAAAAGUGACCAACAUGAAAGUUGUAGAGUUCAAAACGUUGAACAACUUUCAUGUUGGGAGUUUUUCAAGUUGUUUGGAAAAAUCAAAAGUAAUUUUGGAAAUUCUGAUCUGUCCCAAUUCAAAAAUUUGAAUUUCCCCAAAUUGGAUUUUGAACUUCAAACUGUUUGGUCAAAUUCACCAUGUUCCACUCAAAAUAAGCUCUGGUCACCAAAAUAUGAUUUGUAGCUUAUAAAAUUUUGCACAACUUUUGUUUUGGUGGGUUUUUGACUGUAGUUCAAGUUUUGGCCGAAUUUUACAAAAGACAGAAAGGGGGAGGAUAAGGGCCAGCUACAGUGAUCCGAUGAGGAUCACCGGCCCCUGUCCAGCGCAUCCGCCGCGCGAGCAGCACCGCGCGCAUGCGUGCAAGCACGCAGCUGCUUGCUGCCAGUGCCGCCAGGCGACGUGGAUGCCCCGGGCUCGCUUCCUCCUCUCCUUUGAGCGCCAGCGUGGACGACGCCGCCCGAGUUCUCUGUCGACGCCCAAGGAACCCCGAUGACUCUCUCUCUCAAAUUGACCAUACCCAAUCCCUCCCGAGCCAAAUUGAACACUCCGUAGCAUUCGCCACCUCCUUGCGAACUCAGCGCACCCCCUAGCUCUUUCUCUAACCCACCCAGUCGUCAGAGCUCCUCUGUUCUUCUCCAACUCCGGCCGAGACCGCCGCCGUGAGCUUUCUCCGUGGCCGUGCUAUUCCAGUGAGCAAACGAUCGAACUAGCGGAUGUUUCUGUUUUCUUUUUAUCUCUAGUUGCUCAUGCGCUCGUUCCUUUUCCCUGGACGCGAACAGGAUCGCCGGAACGACCUCGCCGGAGCCGGAGCACCCGCCAGACGGCACCGUCUUCGUCGCCAGCAGUCUCGGCUACCUCCCAGAGUCCCGCGAUGUGAGCACCGUGCUCCUUAACACUCCCUGAACCUCUCAGCCUUCAUGGUUCACGCUCUACCGAGCCCUAGUGGCCGGCCGAUGGUCGGCCAUGGCGGCCACCCGCUUUUCGCGUGGCCGGGGAGGAGGGAGACGGUAGAGCACGAGUAGAGGAUGGCAGUGGAGUCGCAAGGUCGAGGCGGAGCUGAUGCGCACGCGCGCGUGGGCGGAGUACUUCGCUAACGGCGGCCGGAGUCGCGGCGGAGCCGCCGCGCGCGAGGGAGGAGGAGCUGACGGGUGGGGCUACCCCGUCAGCGUCCCGUAGAGAGAGGGGAGAGGACGGCCUGACGAGCGGGACCCGCUCGUCAGUGACCGCGUGAGGGGGAGGGCGCGCGCUCAGCGCCCGCGUGGGCUGAGCGGGAGUGGGCCGGCCUGCGGGCCGAUCUCCCGGCCGCUCGCUGCACAGUAGUGUUUUUCUUUUUCUUUUUAUGCAGUUUUUGCUUUAUGUUUGAUUUUGUGUAAUAAAUUAUUUAGUGAUCCAAAAAUCAUGGAAAUUUUUGUAUAGAUUCUCUGAAAUGAGUAGAACACAGGGAAAAUGUUAAGUUUUAUUUUCUAGUAGUUUGCAAGUAUAUAAAAAUUACCUCUUUUAUUUAAUGAAUAAAACUUCUAGGAAUUUUAAUAAUUUAUUAAUAUGUCCAAAAAUCACCAAACUUUGUGGGGAGUCUCUGAAUAUUAUUCCCUGGCUUCACCCAAAAUUUGGUGGCAUUUGGAUAAGGUUUGAAUAAAACAAUAUUAAACCCUUCAUUAGUAAUUAAAUAAUAACACUAGAAUAAUUAAAUAAUAAUUAGUCAAAUCCUCAAAAUCAGGAUUUGAGUGAUUUUGGGGUUGUGUGAUGACCUGAGGUCAUUAAACUUAAUGACCUUUGGCAUUUAAUUAUUGUUUGGCUUAAUGCUUAAUUACUGUCAUUAAUAUUUAAUUAAGAAUUAACUAGUAUAAAAAGGAUUAAUAAUUAGUUAAUUAAAGACAAUUAUGAAUUAAGAGGAAUCUUAGUUUACAAAUGCAACCUCUUGGGUAAAGACACUAAGAUGAUAAACAACUUUAUUUAUUGUUUAGUCUAUAUUGCUCCGAGAAGGCAAGUUGUACUCGACUUGGUCCUUCUUCCAUAUUUGUCAUACGCAUAUCAUGAGCAUUCAUCAUUUUGCGUAUAGUGUCCGUGACCGAAGGAGCGACCGUCGAGCCGAACCCCGAAGUCGGUGCUCCGUUCGAGGAAGUAGGAUCCGAGACUUGGGAAGUCUCCGAGGGUCCCUCUCUGCCCUGCAACCAAGGCAAGCCCCGGAUGCAUUAACCCUGCCUUGAAUGUUUUAAAUCUUUUAUCACUUAUGAAUUGAAAAUGCUGCAUUAGGUAGUUGAGAAUUGGGUUAACCUACUUGCUGCAUUUACUACCUUGAUAUCUGUUAUCCUGUCCUUGACACCUGUUUUAUUUUAAAACUGCGUAGUUAUGCUUAGCCCUGCUACUAGAUAGGUUUUCAAACAAGAAAGUUUGAAGGGUUGUUGUGGAAUACACUUAUGCUCAAUAAUGUUUCAAUUUGAGACCGGUCGGUGGACUUGCUUUAAGAAUGGAGUCUUAAAGUAGUGUCUCCAACUGUGUCGAUUAAGGACCGGUCCGUUGAUGGCCUGCUGGGUUGAGAAUUUAUAGUACUAGCCACUUACCCUCGGUAAGCCCGAUCUUGUGAUCCCUCGACGCGAAUAGCUACUCGCGCACUGGGCGUGGAGCGAUGGCGAGAGUAGUGUGUACCCACCUUACGGAUCUGAGAUGACUAGGAACCAUCUAGAUCGGCUGUAGGAUGGUGGAGUACUAUGCUCUCGGGUGCCGCGAACCUGGUCAAAUUUGGGGAGAGCUUGAUUUGGGUUGACAUAUGCACGAUUUGGUUCUACAUAUGUCGGGUGGUUAGGAACUCUAGCUGGAUUGCUAAGCGAUUCGAAUUGUCGUUGCUCCCCGAUUGGGAGACUCAAUUCCUUCGACCCUCAUCGUAGAUAAAUAUGCAACUAAGUGAUAAAAUGAGAAAGGGGAAAAUGUCUCAUGAGGUUCGGAUCCCAAUUUCCGAACUCAGAGUGACAUGAAGCUAUGGCCGUUGGAUAGAUAAUACUCUAAUUUAGGACUAGGAACUCACAGACUUGUCUGUGCGAGGCAACUAGUUAGACUGUCCUCGAACUCCUCGGCCUCUUAAGGAGAGGAAUUCGCGGAUAAAACUUGAAAGUAAGGAUGCACUAUUAGUAAGCUUUUCCGCAAAACACUUGGGCUCCUUGCUCAGCCACCCCUUGUCUACCCCAAGCCUACAUUCCUAUUUUUUCCUCUUUUUCUACCGGGUAAGUCUUGUUGAGUACUCCCGUACUCAGGGUUUUACAACCCCUGUUGCAGGUGAAGCUCAGGAGCCGACCUGUUUCGGUCCUUGUUGUGUGACCGUCGUCGAAGUUGAUGACGAGGAAGAGUAAACGUGACCCAUGGGCAGGGUCUGUAAAUUUGUAAUCUGCGUUCUGAAGUUUAAGUUGCUCCGCUGGACCAGGCUUGUAAUAACACUCUACUAUUUGGACGAACUCCUUUUGUAAAUUAAGUUAUGUAAUACUUCCGCUGUUUUACUCUGAAAUAUUACUUUGGUCUUAUGUCGCCUGUGAUACUACAAUGUCUUCGCAACGAGUGAUCCUGGUGUUAAGGUGGCCACUUGCUAUCUUGUAAGGGCGAGAAGAAGAAGUUCUCGUCAAUUGACCAUUACCAGUGGUCAAGACGAGCUUGCUUGAUACGCCACAGGUAGCGGUGGAAUGAGCGUCCAGCGAUGCUCAUCGGACUUCUAAAGUGGGAGGAUCCCCGACAUCACUGUCAGAGGUCCUUGGGACAAUGACAGGUGUCGGUGGGCCCAAGCACUUAGGAGGUUCUUCCACACCUGAUCUCUGCCGAUGUAAUUCCGACUGCUCGGGAAGGACUUGCCUCCUCACCUUCAUCCUCAGAAAUGUCGAUGGCAAAGGAGAACAAGCUGUCAGGAGAGUCCUGUUCCAGAAAAGAAAAUAAAGUGAGUCAUUCUAUGGUCAAGUAUUGAUAAAUAAUACAAAUAGAGGUUGGGUGGCUUACUUGUUUCAGGGCAAUCUCUCGCCUCUGACUCGAAGAUGCUGAUGGAACCACAGGCUGAUCGGCUGGGGUUGCUGAUGAGACUAUGUCAGCUGAAAGAAUAACAGAAAUAAUUAUAAGACAGAGAAAGUGGGUUCAUCGGCAAUGGUUUCAUAGAAAGUGUGUUACCUUGAGGAGGAGCAGUACUUGCUUGGAUGGAAGAAAAUACCGAUGCUAUAAUUGAACUUGCUGGAUCGGUAGUUUGCUCAUGCACGUCAACCGAUAUGUCUUCCGGCUGAGGUAAUUCUGGCUGGGGUUCUUCUAGUUGGGGUUCUUCCACGUGGGGUUCUUCUUGUGGCUGAGGAGAAGGUAUCUGCUGUGUCUGAGCUUCUAGAGAAGAAGGAGAAGAUUCCACCGGGAUUGGAGAUACUGGGGGAGAAGGUGUUGCUGUCUUCUGGCGCUUUGCUUGUGAUCUGGUACUCUUGGAACCUUUCCUCUUCGGCUGACUGGACUGGGGGGCAUUGGCACUUAUGCUUCUGGUCCUUGCCGAUGCACCGGUAUGCUGAUACAACAAUGAAAAUUUGUGAGUACAAAUGCAACAGAUGCAAGAAUGGGAUCGGUAUGGAUGAAAAAGCUUGAACAGCUACCUUGAAGGCCUGUGCUAAGGUGGAGGCAGCUACUGAUGGAGAUGUCUUUGUCCGCUUGGUGGUGACUUUCUUGAGGCGCACACCUCGAUGCAUUAUAGCAGCUAAAGUGGGAGCGUUGUUGCCGAUUGAAGAGAUCGGACCUGAUGGAAAAAGAUCAAUCGGCUUACCACUCCUGCUGACCGAUGGGGGAGUAUUAUCAACCUAUAAUAUAAUACAGAAAGUGAGUUACCGAUGGAAAUAGAAGUGAAAGGAUUGAGACAUCGAUUUGGAAAUACUUACAGUGUUAUCGGGAACUUUGUACUGGGGGUUGAUCAUGCUACGGUACGUAAGAGCCGAUUUGCAGAACAAAUGCUCCUUCCAUUCCUCCCACCAUUGUUUGUACGCCUGAGUGAUGAAGUGGGCCGGAAUCCACUCUGAUAAAUCUGCAUCUGUAUCGGCACUCGGUGGCAGUUGAGCUACUCGGGUCCACUCGAGAAGGCUAGUGAUGGUUUCCCUAGGUUUUAUCACAUCGGCAUAACAGAGUGCGAUCGGCAGCUGACCGAAAGCUAGUUGGCGGGCUAGUGCUGAUGGAUUGUAAAACUCAUAGGUUUGAUUGGAGGCUUUCCCACUGCCAAAGAAGUUUACUGGUAUAGCUCUGGGAGUGAUCAGUGCCAUCAUCACAUCGUGAUCCUUGUUGAGAGCAUCAUUGAAUGGAUGGAAGACCAAAGGAAACAUGGUGUGUGGAUCUUCAUAAGGCAUCCACGCUCGCCGUUCUCUGGUCAGGCCUUCGUACAGGGUCUGGAAGAAUCGGCUGACCUGGUCUGCAUUGCCACCUGUACCAGGUAGAACUAUGAUAGCCUCGCCAAAGUUCAGAGGAGGACGAGUUACCGAUUCUUCUUCAUCCAAUUCAUGGCUGAUAGGGUAGACUUAGUUAGAGCAGUCUGGUCGACAGUGUUCAAUAGCUGAGCUUUCCAAGUAGGGAUCUUGGCUGCAACUUUGUCAAUUAGCGGUUGCUCCUCCAUGUGUGUAGGCUUCUGUAGGGUUGAAGGGUCGAGAUGGCGGACUAGAGGGGAGGUGAAUAGUCCUUUCUAAAAAUAACACACCGGCUAACCAAAACAAAUGCAGAAUUAAAACUAUCGGCCUAGCCAAGACUACACCCCUCUAUCUAAGUUCUCUAGCACCUUGUAAAAGAUCCUAAACAAGAAAACAAGGUGCUACCUUACCAAGAGCUCACCUAACAAUUAUAGAAGUAAGGUCAUACAAACCUAUGCAACUAGUACUGUGCAAACCGAGGAAGCUCCUACACAAACUAGUGAGGCAAAGCGCACAAAGCCUAAGCUCACUAGCAAGCUCAAUAACAAGGCAACUAAUGCCAAAUUAGAGAGCGCAACUUACUUAGCUACACAAACUAAGCAAUGUGACUAGCAAGGUUGCACAAACCGAAUUAGCCACGCAAGGGAACUACUUCUAGCUACAUAAGCAAGAAGGUAACUAGCAAGCUACACAAGCUUAACUAAUUACAAAAGCAACUACACAAGCACAAGUAUAUAAAUAAUGUAAAUACAAGCUCGUGUAUAGCGAAUGCAAACCACCGAGAAGAGUAGACAAUGUUGACACAGUGAUUUUUACCGAGGUUCACUUGGUUGCCACCAAGCUACGUCCUUGUUGUGGCGAUACACCCACUUGAUGGAUCACGAGCUAAUUGGAAUUCCAAAGCCAAACCCUCGGCGGGUGCCGCACAUCCACUCUCAAGAUGGGGAUCCUCCAAGCCACAAGCAAUCCACUAGAGUUGCUCUUCGCGAUCCACGCGGGGUGAGCACCGUACCCCUCACAAUCUCUUCUCCAGCGCACAGCACAAUCUCUUUGCAUGCUUUGACGGAGUCACAAGCCACCAAGCCGUCUAGGAGGUGGCAACCUCCAAGAGUAACAAGCACCACCGGCUUGCAACAUGAACACCUAGUGCCACUUGAUGCAAUCUCUCAAUGCAACACACUAGAAUCGCUCACUCACACAAUCGGAUGAUCACUAUCAAGCAUAUAUGAGUUAGAGGCUUCACUAGCACUCCCCGAGAAUGGACACUAAGUCCCAAGGGUGCUUAGCACCAGCCAAGGCUGGCGAUCACUUCUAUUUAUAGCCUCAAGGGCUAAACUAGCCAUUACCCCUUCACUGGGCAAAACACGUGGGCACCGGACUCACUGGAGGGUGCCACCGGAUGCUCAACCCCAGCAUCCGAUGCUUAGACACCAGCCACGUGUCACUAGCCAUUUGAACUCGACCGUUACCGUCAACGGCUAACACACGCGCGCGCCUGCACCAGCCACACCCGACGCUCUACAGGUCCACACCAGACGCGUCCGGUGCACACCGAACUUGUGCGCAGAGAGCUCCACAAACCUGCAGGGUCACCGGACGCUAAGCACUGGUAGCGUUCGGUGCUCACCGGACUUAUGCGCAGAGAGGGUCGCAAAACGCCCGCACACCGGACGCUGAGCACCGGACUCACUUUAGUGUGUCCGGUGCACUCUGCUUCCUCUGGUCGGACCCGACAGUACACCGGACGCUAAAGGCCAAUGUCUGGUGCCUCCACGCAGUGUGUCCAGUGAGUGUUUGUCAGUGAGAAACACUCUCGCGACUUCUCCAAAUUUCCCACCAGCGCAAUAGAAAAUAUGCACUUAAUUUUCUGAAAAGCGCCGAAUCCCUCUCUACCCUAGGAACUCUAAACCCAAACCCCUCUCUACCCUAGGAACUCCACCUCCUUCGCAAAGAGUGCCAACACCACCAAGUGCAAGUGUGUUAGCAUUUUACAAACAUUUUCCCAAAGGAGUUAGCCUCUCAAACUUGCCGCGCCACUCGAUCCUAACACGUAUGCAAAGUUAGAUCGCUCAAGUGGCACUAGACGACCGAUAUGCAAACAAGUUUGCCCCUCUUGAUAGUACAGCCAUCUAUCCUAAAUCCGGUCAUAAACUUCUCUACACACCUAUGACCGGUGAAAUGGAAAAGCCCUAGGUUAUACCUUUGUCUUGCGCUUUCCAUUCCAUCUCCUCCAAUGUUGAUGCAACACAUGCACCAACCAAUCACCAAAUGAUAUGAUCCACUUCAUAUCAUCACGUGACCAUAUUGGUUCAUUGAUCUUGACCUCACUUGCUCUUCACCGUUGCCUUGGUCCAUCGGCGCCAAGUCUUGCUCAAGCUUCACUGUCACACGCGGUCCCUCGCUUCAAAGCCUCCGACUUGCCCUUCACUCUUGCAACUGGUCCAUCGAGCCAAGCCUCAUCUUGAUCUUCUCCACCUUGGUCACAUGACUCCAUGUCAUGUCUCAUAUGCAAUGAGCUCCUUCAUCAUCACAUAAUCAUCUGUGGACUAAUCUCCUAUGUAUCUCACAUAAACACUAUUAGUCCACCUAAGUUGUCACUCAAUUACCAAAACCAAACAAGGACCUUUCAAGGGUGAGCAGGAUGCCCAGGUACGCACACGAGAAGGGGACGAGGUGCCCCAAAAAAUCCGCUAGAACGAUCGCGACAUCAUCCUCGGAGCAAUGGAUGGACGAGAUGGAGCAUUUCUCCAAAUUGGUGAUGAGGCCCGAGGCAUCGACAAAUAGGUCCAUGAUGGCCCGAAGUCACCUUGUUGGCGAGAGAAAUACCACCAAAUCAUCGGCGUACAGAGAGGCACAACCCUAGAUUAGGGCGGCAAGAUGGGCUAGAGCACGCCGCAUACAUCAACAGUCGAUAUCAUUCGGUUGAUGACAUCCAUUGCGAUGACGAACAACAUGGACGACAGAGGGUCGCCCUACCGUAGUCCACGUGCAUGCCAUAUCUUCUUCCCUAGCCUUCCAUUCAUGAGCACCCGCGUGGAAGCUUGUGGACAGGAGCAAGGUGAUCCACUCAGUCCACCGUGCUGGUAAGCCACACAAUUCCAUGAGCUGAAUGAACUCCUAAGAAACCAAAUCGAAAGCCUUGGCGUUGGCUAUGUCGAUCUUCACAAGCACGACCGGGAGGUGUCGGCUAUAGAGGUAUUGGCAAGCAAGUUGUACCACCAUGAAGUUAUCAUGGAUGGACCGACCUUGGAAGAAGGUGCUUUGGUUAUUUUUUUAUUAGAGAAGAGAGGUGUGGUACCAAACGUGUGGUAAGCACCUUAAUGAUAAGUUUUCUAAGACUGUACAUUAAGUUGAUGGGUCGGUGGUCCUUUAGGCAGGAUGGCGCCACCACCGUUUUCCUGAGCAGAACCAUGUUGGUUGUGUUCAAGAGCUAGAAGCUCCAACGGUGAGUCCACAAGGCGUUAAAGACGACGUCAUCAUUUAUGACCUGCCACGUUGCCUUGUAGAAGCGGUCAGUAAAGCCAUCAGGACCUAGGGGGCACGAUCAUUUGGAAUUUCCCAGAUGAUGUUCCACGCCUCGUCGACUAUGAAUGGUGCUCCAGCUCGCUAAGAUCAAGCUGCGACAUGCCAACUUGUGACAAGCUGAUAUUCGCAUUUAAGUAGGCAUAGAUGGCAUCCGUUUUUGCUUUUCAAGAAACAAAUUUGACUAAAUAUAUAAAAAAUAUUAAAAUUUAUGAUACAUAAUUAAUUUCAUUAGAUAAAUUAUUGCUAAUAUUUUUUCUAUAAAUACAAUAAAAUUUAUCAACAUGUAAACCGUGGUGACAGAUAUUAGAGACAAAGAGAGGACUAGUGCUAUUUAGUUUUCCUAGUCUUUGCGGAACAGAGGGUGUGUUAGGGAGUGUUUGGUUGGAGGGACUAAAUUCUAAUAGGUAUUGUAGCACAUUUGUAACUAUAAUAAUUAGUGUCCAAUCAUGAACUAAUUAGACUUAAAAAAAUUCAUCUCUUAAAUUAUUCUCUAGCUAUGUUUUUAGUUUCUUUAAUAGUCUAUGCUCUCUCUGUCUCUGAAAGCUUUAACUUCUAGAGUUGUCAUAAGUCAAACUUUUAAAACGUUGACUGAAUUUCUAGAAAAGAAACGUUAAGAUUUAUAGUAUCAAAUUAAUACCAUUAGAUUUAUCAUAGAAUAUAUUUUCAUAAGAUACUCAUUUUAUGUUAUAGAUAUUAAUGCUCUUUUCUAUAAAGUUAGUUAAAUUUUUAAAAGUUUGACUGACACGGAUUCUAGGAGUUGAAGCUUUCAAGGACAGUGAGAGUAUUUAAUACUUCAUUCAUAUGUCUCAAUAUUUGAUGUGAUAAGGACUGAAGUUUAUAAGAGGAAAUCAAACAGGGCCUUAGAUGUUAAUAGCACUAAACAAGUUAUCUUAAAGCUAGUAAGUACAAUUAUAUUGAGGGUGCCCUCUGUUAACUCUGACCCCCAGAAGUUCCUGACGCAAACAAUGCUAGAAGCGACCCCUCGCUUGUCCAAGAAUAAAAUGUUCAGAUCUCGUCGUAGCUUGCUUCUCGGGGAAGACCGCACCCUAGAUAACCGAAGUACCCAACCCAACAAUCAUAAAGGCAACUGAAAUUUCUUUUUUUGCAACGGGCCCAUGAUGCCUAGCCCAACCCUUCUUCGCGCGACGGUUUCAAGUUAGACGAAGAGGCCCGAACUGCACUGCAGGCCCUCAACCAGGCCGUGCGUCGAGUUCCAUGUACGUCUAAAUCAUUUGGGACGUUUCCCAAAAAUUUUCCCUUUGUGCACUCAACUCUCACGGAACUGUUUUUUUUUUUGGGGCUGGAGCAAAUCCAGAAGGAGACAUCCAAUAAUGGCCUAGUGUCUAGUGGGCUUUAAUUUGAAGACUUUUCAUUAUAAAAGCUGGUAAUUAUCUCUAAGCUAUUAAAAAAGUUGAAUUUUAAUAGAUGUCACUCCUCUAAACUCUUUUGUUCUUUACGCCGCUUCCAUCAGAUUUGACUCUAAUGGUGUUAAACUGCAUGUAUAAAAAGUCAAAAAUACCCUCAUAUUUGAAUAUACAAAUAAUUUUUUUGAGCAACUUAACGAUCUCAAAUAAAAAAACUCAAAACUAGAAAGUUGUAGAUCUCACCAAGAUCUACAAUAUUUCUAUAAAAAUUAUUUUUAUUUCAUUUUGUAUAAAAAACUAUAGUUUUUCUAAGACAUUUUAAUCAUAUUAAAUUAUAUAUUUUUGUAUGGAAUUCAAUGAAGAUAAUAUUUAUAAAUAAAUUGUAGAUAUUGUCGAGAUCUACAACUUUCUAGUUCUGAGUUUUUUCGUUUGAGGUAAUUAAAAUGCUCAAAAAAAUUUACAUAUUUAGGCCAAAGAGUAUUUUUGACUUUUCACACUCGCAGUUUGACACCGCUAGAGCUAAAUCUAACAGAAGUGACGUGAAGAGCAAAAGAGUUUAGAGAAGUGGCACCUAUAAGAACUCAACUUUUUAAUUGCUUAUAGGUAAUUAUCAACUUUUAUAAUGGCACAUAAGUAAAACCCUCAAUUUGCCACUUUGUUUGGCCUUCUCUAUGGAUUUGAUUCAAGGACUUUUUGUUCUUUUUUUCUGAAUAUACAAAUGACUUCCAUAUCAUUGUAAAAAUGUCUUAAGCUCCUAUGCUCAUGUCAUGAUACUUCCAUGACACUGAUAUUUUAGUGACGGAUUUUGUUCAGACUAACGAAUUAUGUUCUUUGAAUAUAUAGUUUCUGUUAACGAAUUAUCAGCAAACAAUAGUUUUAGCCAUGAUUUUCUAAGAAUCGAAUAGGCUCAAACAAGGUCAAGAUGUGCACAUGGUCUUGCUGCACUACUGUAGAUACAAUCAAGUACUGUCUGCUUGUUCUUUUCUGGUCUUGUUGUAUAGAGUAGGGAAGAAAGAGCCUAGUACUAGCACAUUCCAAUGAUUGUAGCUAAAAAAGCAAUGCUUGGAUCUGUCAUUGUGAGCUUGCUAGAGACAUUAUUAUCUGUAAUUGUUAAAGCUGCUCUGGAUAAAACGGUCCACAGAUUACGGUAGACGGUAGGCCCGGUAGGCGGAACACUACUAUUCUUUUGUCUCGUGUGUGAGCAAUGUGCUUUUUGUUUAGUUCCAAUUUUUUUUACAAACUAGAUACUGUAGCACUUUCGUUUGUAUUUGACAAAUAUUAUUCAAUUACUAGGUUAAUGCCCGUACGUUGUUACGGGUUUUAAAAUCCACAUACUCUAUGUUUCUUCAUUGUUAUUUUAUUUUUUCUGUCUAUAUUUUUCCUUUUUCGUUUCUUUUUAGUUUUCAUUUUUCAAUUUUAUUUUAUUUCCUGUCCUUUCCUUAUUCUUUUCUUGUUUUAAUUUUACCUUUUAUUUUCAAAUUCUUUUGGUUUUAUUUUUAUUGUUCUUCCUUGCUUCUAUUUGUUUUUCUUUUUUCUUUUCAGGUUUUCUGUGUUUCUUCAUUCUUAUUUUAUAUUUUAUUUCCUUUUAAUUUUAUUUUAUCCUUAUUUAAAUUAUUCAUUUAUUUUAUUUGCUCUAUGCACUUUUUAUCAAUUGUUAAUCAUGUUUAUUUUUAUAUUUUUCUUCUUAGUAAUUUUUAUUUUCUAUAUAUAUGUGAUGUUUAUGUAGUAUAUAUUCACUGGCGGAGCCACCGCCCCGCCACCCCGGGCGGCCAGCCAGGCUCCUCGCCAAGAUGUAAAAGAAAUCUUCUUUAUAUUUAUAUAGAAUUCUGUAAUUUUGUAAUUAAAUAUUUUUGUUUAAUGAGAAUUGCCCAGGCUCCUAAAAUCUUCUGGCUUCGCCACUGUAUAUAUUUAGUGUUCUAUGUUGUGUUAUGUCAUGUUUACGUAGUAUAUAUGUGAUGUUCUAUGAUAUUUCUUAUUGUGUUCACUUCGUAUACAUGUAAUCUAUAAUAGAUGUGAUGUUCUAUAAUAUAUUUAAUGAUGCUCUAUGAUGAGUGAUGUUAAUGUUAUAUAAAUAUAUUUACAAAAUUUGAAAAGUAACCGUUUGACAUUAUUUGAAAUUUUUCUCCAUUUUGUGUUUAUUUUUUUUCUUAUGCUUUUGGCUCUAGAUUUUUUUAUUAUUUUUAUCUAUGUCAUGUAUUUAUGUAUUUUUAUGUAUAUUGUAAUAUCAGUUUCAUAAACCUAAAACCAAAAUACUAUUCUUCUAAAUCGAUAACAUUUUUUUACAAAGACAGAACAUCGUCUGUUGAACCUAAAAUAUUGUCUCUACUUAAUAAAAGAAAAUAUUUUAUCUUUAUAAGAUAAAUAUUCAUUAAUAAAAUUUUAUCUAAAUAUAUCCAUGUGUGAUCUUGUUUUGAAGGAUUUGUUAUAAAAAAUUAAUGGUGCAAUCGAAAUUUAAUUUAUAUCUCCUUUUUAGGAGUUAUGAUUUUUUUAAUUCGCUAAAACAAUUUUGCAUGCAUAGAUGAGUGGGGCUUAGGUUGAUGGGAUAGCGUGUCAUCACGCAGUAAAAAAGACCACCAAAGAGAUAAUAGUUGUGGAUGGGUCCUCUCAUAAUUUUUAGUUGUAGAGAUAAAUAUUCAUUAAUAAAAUUUUAUCUAAAUAUAUCCAUGUGUGAUCUUGUUUUGAAGGAUUUGUUAUAAGGAAUUUAAUGGUGCAAUCGGAAUUUAAUUUAUAUCUCCGGUUUAAGAGUUAUGAAUUUUUUUAAUUCGCUAAAACAAUUUUACAUGCAUGGGUGAGUGGGGUCUGGGUUGAUGGGAUAGCCUAUCAUGGCACAGUAAAACGAACGGGAGUUGUGGAUUCACCAUAGGUGCGGUAGACGGGUCCUUUCCAAAAUUUUUAGUUGUAGAGAUAGACUAAAUAGAUUCAAAAAAUUUGUCUCACAUAUUACAUGCAAACUAUGCAAUUAGUUAUUAUUUUUAUCUAUAUUUAAUGUUCCAAUACCAUCAUCUUUACAUCUUUACAUAGGAAUGGCUACGGAGAUUUCUAACAUCUUAGUCUCGUAGUUUUGAAUUUCCAAAUCGAAUCGAUUUAAAUUAAAAAAAGAAUAAGAAAAAGCUACCUCAUCCCUAUUGGUAACUGUUUGGGCCACCGCCCACAAAACAAACCAUAGUUUGAGGGUAGAACUAUGAUAUGGAUUCUCAAAAUUCAGUGUCACCAAACCUAGUUACUCUUGUGCCCCAACUUAGGGGAUACGAAUUUAUCGAGUUUGAUAAUCCUAAGUAUUUUAUUGAAAUUUUAAGUAUUUUAUUUAUCAGGCGGCAUCUAGAUUUGAACUGAGGUUAAAGGAUUUACGGUUUAGGGUUUAGGUCUAUUGUUAAGAACAUCUUCUUGCCCAGCAGUUCAAUGCUGUUUCAAGGCCUGCAUUGUGCACCAUGAGCAUGGAAUUCACUGCACAUGCCGUGCUGAUUCACAAGCAGCAGCAGCAGGCGGCCUCAACCUCAUGAUGCUUGCGGCCGGGUUGGAAAGGGGAGCCCGAUCGAGACCAUUCUGAGUUUCUGACUGAGACUGUUGGUAGCCUGGCAGUCUGGUAGUAGUACUCGCACGUAUCAAAGGAAUUGAAGCUACGGCGGCAAAGCUGACAUGGCUACCUGGGCGCAAAUGAUUUGGUCCGUCUCCGCUCUGCGACUGCGAUAGAUAACACGGGAAUCAUGUUGCCCGCCGGUGAGCUGCGUGUGAUCGGACGUGAGAGCUUUCGCUUUAAGCAAAGAUGAUGGCAAAUGGCAUCGCACGGCACGGCAGUCCGUCCGUCCGUCCGUCGGCCUCCUUUUCCGUUCGGCCAUGCGUCGUCCGGCCUGCUGAUUUGUGUUCUACUGUACUCGGCGACUACUCCAUCUCACUGCUCAGCAGUCCAGUCAGUCAGUCAGUACGGGAGACCGGUGUGAGAGUCCAAUCACAAUCAAGGGCGUAAGGCCUCGUUUAGUUCCCAAAAUUUUUCAAGACAUCGAAUCUUGCGGCACAUGUAUGAAGCAUUAAAUAUAGAUGAAAACAAAAACUAAUUACACAGUUUACCUGUAAAUCGCGAGACGAAUCUUUUGAUCCUAGUUAGUCUAUGAUUGGAUAAUAUUUGCCACAAACAAACAAAAGUGCUACAGUAGCGAAAUCCAAAAUUUUUCUCAAACUAAACAAGGCCUCAUGGCAAGGGUUCGACCUUGGGCGUGCGUGCCUGAAAAAUGGCAGAAAACCAUCGAUCGCUGCAGGUAGUAGCUGCCAGCCAAGGAGUAUCCUGGUAAAUGGUAGUAUAUAUAUGCUGACGCCUGAGCCAGCAUUGGCUCUACCCAACAAGUGCGUCGCGUUGCCUGGCCGAGCGCGAGCGGCAGGUACCGCCGGCGUUUCAGCUCAGCCAGCAGCCAUGCCUUGGGCAACGGAUCGGAUGACCGGAUCCCUCCGCCACGCGAGCUCGGAAAUGUCCCCUCCCCAUCGAGAUUUCGAGGCAAUUCAGCCUUGUUUAGUUCCUGAAAAAAUUUGCAAAAUUUUUCAGAUUUCCCGUCACAUCGAAUCUUUAGACGUAUGCAUGGAAUAUUAAAUAUAGAUAAAAAUUAAAACUAAUUGUACAGUUUGGUCGGAAUUGACGAGACGAAUAUUUUGAGGCUAGUUAGUCUAUAAUUAAACAAUAUUUAUUAAAUACAAACGAAAGUGCUACUAUUCAUAUUUUAAAAAAAAUUUGAAACUAAACAAUGCCUCAUCCGUCCCCAGCAGUCGUCGUCGUCGACGAGUCGCUGCAGCAGCCGUGCAGUGCACUGCAACCACAGCUUUAUUCACUGCCCGCACAGCCUUUCCCUAUACGUUGCCUGCCGGUUACCCCACUGAUGGAAGGUAUCGAUGUAAGAGCAACUCCGUCAAAAAUACUUGGCAAAUUAGAAUUUUUGGUAAAACCACGAAAAAUAGGCUACAACAAGUUAGCAAAAACACUUAACAUUUUGGAAGCUUGGCAAAUAUCCCCCUUCCUUGCGCAAAUAUGCGCGCGUUGGAGCGCUUGGCAUCGGACGAUUUCGGCACUUCUUCGGUUCACCCGUGCGCGCGAAGCGGACCCGCUCUUCUUUUCCCGCGGGCGCGAAAGGAGAUAGGAUCGCCGCCGCCGGUCCUUUCCUCGUGUGCCUGGUCUGGUCGCUAGGAGAAGGAUCGACGCUGCCGGUGCUUUCCUCGGUCCUCGCCGUCAUCUGGUGUUCGUGCCGAGAGAAGGAUCGAUGGAGAGAGGGAAAGAUGGCCUGGAUCGAUGGAGGUGCAGCAACAUAGGAAGAAGGAAGAAGGGGUGGCGGCAGAGGAGAAGAUCGGCGCGGCCCUGUACGGCGUCGAAGGUGAAGGGGUCCCUUGCGUGCGUGACCUGAAGGGAAUUGCCAGGCACCGGCCCCACCAAAAAAUUAAGACAUGUGGGCCACUAAUUUUCAUUUUGCCAAGCUCAAAUAGUAAACUGUUGGAGAAGGGCUAUUUUUUCACUUGGCAUUUGAGUUUGAGACUUGGCAAAACUAAAGAUUUGUCAAAUGAUGUUUGCCAAACUGUUGGAGUUGCUCGGUGAUUAGAGUCUAUCCAACUAUGGGGACAUAUUUUUCUAAAUUUUGUGAGGAUUUAUCUUUUUUUAGUGUGUCAUAAUAUGUAAAAUAGGGACCCAUUGGAGAUAUCUAUUUAGUAAUAGUUAGAUUAGAGACUAGUUAAAUUAAAUACAGGUCCCCUAAUUUAUAGAAUUUAUCUUUUUUUUAGUGUAUCACGUUCAUGUGUGCAUGAGCCAAAUUAUAGAAGUCGAUCGGACUCUUGUUUGCAUGGUUAACGCUGCUAGGAGGUUUCCAAACAAAACCUUAUAUAGUUUCCACUAAUAAUUUCAGUGUAGAUGCAUGGCUAUUAUAUAUGCUCUGAUGGUGAUGGAUUAUCUUUCGAUCGUAUUGUUUUGGCAGUAAGGAAUAGAUUGCGUGCAUGGAGAAAAAGAAAUAGCUCUAGAUUUUGCUGACUGUGCGCGGAAGCCGAAAGCUCGCUCGUUUGCCGGAUACGGCCGGCCAGCAGAUCCCAUCCGUGUGCUUUGCUUUCACAAGCAGACCACCGUCCAAUGUACAGGACUACAUGCUUUGUGACUGUGUGUCGAUCGAGGCCGCAGCUAUAGCGUUAACACUAUAUUUUUAUUAGAUUAGUCAUAAAAUAUAUUUUUAUAAUAAAUUUAAUUAAAAAUCUAACUCUGUAUAUAACAUCUUAUAUAAAUUUAUUCAAACUUAAAGAUUAAUUUAAUUUUUUAGGAAGCGAGGUUUAUAAAUUUUUUUACCAGGCGUCGCGUCUGCUGGCUAAGCUCCACGCGCAUAAAAAAUGGUUUUGGAUUGAUCGCCCGCAGCUGCUCCACGCGAGAAGCGUGCGCUGCAUUGCUGCAACGAUGUCGCAGCUUCAAUUCAUACACGGCUAUAUACGAGUACGUACUCCGUACUCGUAUAUCAGCAUGACUUACUAUUGUUUUUACGAACGAUGCCACACUGAACGGUCCGCCCAUGCAACAGCUUCUAUGUACGCUCUCCAGUCUCCAUCACCGCUCUGCGCUGAGUAUUCUUCCGAACCAGCUGUUGUAGCCCAGACUACCCAGUACAAACACUCGCCGGCUGUAUAUAUAUUGUGACUAGUCAUAUACUGAUAUACAUCAUCGAUCUUCUUCUCUUUUUUCUUUUUUGCGAGGAUCAUCGAUCUUCUUUUGACGGGAUUGGACAGAUGGAUUGGACAUAUUGAUGACAACGACAGACGGUCCUGUUUGGUUUCUACUUAAAAAACUUUUCAUCUCGUUUCAUAAAAUGUUUGAACACAUGGCGAGAGUAUUAAUAUAGAUAAAAAUUAAUUAAUUGUAUAGUUUGUAUUAAAAUCACGGGACGAACCUUUUAUGCCUAAUUAGUCUAUGAUUAACCAUAAUUACUCAUAUGCUAAUGAUAGAUUAAUUAGAUUUAAUAAAUUCAUCUCGUGGUUUCUAGACGAGUUAUAUAAUUAGUAUUUUAAUUAGUAUCUGAACACCCUUCUGACAUCUCAUUAAACAUCCGAUGUACUCCCUCCAUUCCAAAUUGUAAGUCAUUCCAAGAAUCUUGGAGAGUCAAAUCAUUUUCAUGUUUGACCAAAAUUAUAGAGAAAAAUACUAAUAUUUGUAACGUAAAGUAAAUAUACUAUGAAAAUAUAAUUAAGAAAGAAUCUAACGAUACCUAGUUAGUAUCAUAAUAAUUAUUAUUUUAUAAUAUAAAUUUGGUCAAACUUAGAAAAGUUUGACUCUCCAAGAUUCUUGGAAUGACUUACAAUUUGAGAUGGAGGGAGUAACAUCUAAAAACUUUUCACCAAUGAACUAAGGCCUUAUUUAGUUUUCAAAAAUUUUCAAGAUUCUCCGUCACAUCGAAUCUUGCGGCACAUGCAUGAAGCAUUAAAUAUAGAUAAAAAAGAUAACUAAUUGCACAGUUUACCUGUAAUUUACGAGACAAAUCUUUUGAGCCUAGUUAGUCUAUAAUUAAAUAAUAAUUGUCAAAUAAAGGUCAUAGUAUGCUUGCAGAUGGUGUACUAGGCUUAUGCGCGCACGCUCUCUCUCUCUCUCAAUAUUUUUGGCAAAUAUAUUUUUUUUCUCUCAAAUUUUGAUCCAGGGAUUGUGACUUUACUUAAUAUUGACUACUAAAUUUAUAGAGAGGAGUAUUGACAUAUACUGCAUUAAAGAGAUAUAUACUAUAAACAAUAACAUAUUUCAUAAUGUAUGUAAUGAUAUCAUUGGAACCUUAGAUAUUAUUGUUCUUUAAAUGGUCAAAUUUAUAUCAGACAAACUCAAAAUCCGUUAUACAGAUUAUGUGAAAAUAGUACAGUUUGGUAGGCCAUCAAAAGUUAGUUAAGCGUGCCUUCGUAGUACGUUUGUUUAUUUAUUUACAUUACAUAAAUACUUUUUAAAGACAAAAACGACUAGUCAUACGAAUGAAAUGACAACAACGAUGUCUACAUACCACCGAUGCUAGCUUUUGCUAAACACAGGUGUCCGCGUCCGCCCUAAAAAAAAUGAGUAGGGUCGUUCGAUAGUUCCUCAUCACUCUGUCAGCGGCUACUUAUCAACUUAUUAAUAGCUUUCGCAUCAAAUCGCAUCCAUAGUCGAAAAAUGGAAAAUAUCGUCGGUGCUAAGACGAUCAACCAUCGGACAGGCGAUGCUGAAUUACUGCUGAGGCCGGCCGAUUCAGAGUCGCUAACUCUCAUCAGCGCGCCAAAAAAAGUCAGCACAAGCAACUGAUCACUGUUGCUUGUCGAGAGGAGAAACGUACGCGAGUUGAGAGUGAGGGAGAGUCGGCCGGAGAGAUGUACACACAAGUAACUAAUGUCAUCAGUAUACAGAUUGAUCUGAAUUUAGACCCCUUUCAGAUUCUACAGACCAGCAAAGAUUAGUUAAGGGUCUCAUUCUUUAUGGAAGUCAUUAUCCUCAUGGCCCGGGCCAUCUGGAGAUCAAGAAAUGAUAUGAUCUUCAAGCAAAUUAAUUCAUCUAUUCAGCAGGAUUUUAGGCACUUCAAGGAAGAAUUCAAGCUGCUGCUCCUAAGAGCCAAAAGAAGAUAUUCUCUUUCAAUUUAACAAUGAAUUUCAAAUCUAGACUACCUAGGCUUAGUCAGCUCUUGUUUUGACCCCCUCCCUUUAUUUUCUUUUUUUUUUCCUUUUUUCUUUCUCUGUUUGCCCUGCCUGUAAUUACUAUUUUUGCUUUAUUUAAUCAAUUACUGUAGGGGUGCAAACUCCUCCAUAUUUGUCAAAAAAAACUAGACUUAAAAGAUUCAUCUUGUGAUUUAUAGGUAAACUGUGCAAUUAGUUCAAAAGAUUUGUCUCGUAAAUUAUAGAUAAACUGUGCAAUUAGUUUUUUGUUUUUGCAUAUAUUUAAUGCUCUAUAUAUAUAUCAUAAGAUUUGAUGUGAUAGAAAAUCUUGAAUUUUUUUUGUUUUUUAGGGUAAACUUUCGUGUGUUGCUGUAACUGCAAAGAUGAGGAGCUGCCGGAACGAAAAAUGAGCUUUUUUUUUCUCUCCCUUUCCAUGGCAGCCUAGCACUAGUAGUAGGAUGUGUCGUCUCGUAUCACACUGUUCACAUCCCUGCAGGGUGUCAAAGGAUGACGUAACCAGGCAAGGGAGCAGUACGUGCAUGUACAACAACGGCAGUCGGCAACUUGCACCGUUCGCUUGCUAUCGGCUAAUCGCCAUUACUGGCCGGCCCCCCAAAUGAAACCGAAAGGUGCUGUGCUGAGCUGACCUCGAAGAAACAGGGCCGGCCGAUUUAAGCAGAUGGAUUACGUUCUGACGAUGCCGUGCGUGCCGGUACAAUCCAUCAACGUCUUACAUCACGGUUUCUCUGCUCAUCCAUGCAUCUUUCCAAGCAACUUCGACAGUAAAAAAAACCGGCCAACAUAUGGCAGUAAAAAAAGUUAAUUUCUUUUUUCGAGAUAAGAAAAAUAACUGAAUGAAAGUAGUCAAAGUACCAGCCGGUCAAAAAUAAAGAGAAGGGAAAGGAGAGGAGGGUGGCGGUCAAAAAGGUUGAUUAGGCCUUGUUUAGUUCACCCAAAAAUCAAAAAAAUUUCAGUCGAAUCUUUCAGCACAUGCAUGAAGCAUUAAAUAUAGAUGAAAAUAAAAACUAAUUACACAGUUUAACUGUAAAUCGUGAGAUGAAUCUUUUGAUCAUAGUUACUCCAUGAUUGGAUAAUAUUUGUCACAAACAAACAAAAGUGCUACAGUAGCGAAAUCCAAAAUCUUUUCGCAUAUAAAGAAGACCUUAGUAUGGUUGGGGCGCUAGCUGCUCGUCCCUUGCAAAACCAAGGUCUUGUUUAGUUCGCAAAAAUUUUCAAGAUUCUCCGUCACAUCGAAUCUUUGGUCGCAUGCAUAGAGCAUUAAAUAUAGACAAAAAUAAAAACUAACUGCACAAUUUAUCUGUAAUUUGUGAGAUGAAUCUUUUGAGCAUAGUUACUCCGUGAUUGGACAAUAUUUGUCAUAUAAAAACGAAAUGUUACAGUAUCCAAAAACAAAAAAAUUUUGCGAACUAAACAAGGCACAAAUUCGACAGGCCCCAACAAAUCGUCAACACCAACCGCGAUCGUCGGCCGGGCCAGUUGCUAGCUGCGAGGUCAUUACCACACCGGUGCGUGCUCCUUUCAGUCUCCCUAUCUCUCCUCCUCUGCUACCCUGUACGUGCUCCCUCCCUCCAUUGAUUCCACGCAUGCAUGCUGGAGCAAUCACAGCACGCACGCAACGCAGCUGCUCGAUCGAUCUGUUCACCAUCAACGACGGACAGCUCUGCUCGAUCGAUCCAUGUCAUCCAUGAUGAUGCUCAUCAGAAAGCACACAAAAGCAGCGAGGAAAUGUUGAUUGCAACUCGUACAGGGCCAGGCAAAGUGGUUGUUGUACACUCGUACUCUGCUGGCCGGCUAAGUACGUACGUACCUAGCUUUAUCACCAAAGCAAAAGUGAUUGUGGCCUUAUUUAGUUCCUCAAAAAAUUUGCAAAAUUUUUCAGAUUUCCCGUCACAUCGAAUCUUUAGACACAUGCAUGAAGUACUAAAUAUAGACAAAAAUAAAAACUAAUUGCACAGUUUGGUCGAAAUUGACGAGACAAAUCUUUUGAGCCUAGUUAGUCCAUGAUUGGACAAUAUUUGUCAAAUACAAACGAAAAAGCUAUAGUGUCCAUUUUGCAAAAUAUUUUGGAACUAAACAAGCCCUGUAUAUAGACAGAAAAAAAAACAUAAAGCUAGCAGUGCGUGAUGGCAGCGGAUCGAGCAGCAGAAGCAUCGAUCCAGCUCGCCCUGCUCUGAAAAGCAGCGGCAGGGAAGAAGAAGAAGAUAGCAGAAAGCAGGAAGAAUAAGCAAGAAACACCAGUGCACCAACGAUGAAACGGGACAGAAACAACGCCAGUACGCCACCACCCAUCUUCUCCAAAAAAACACAAUAGCCUCAUGUAGUCAUGUACAUCGUCCUACGUACGGAGAAAAAACGUGCCUCCUUACUUGUUCCUCUUCGUUCCCUCCAAGUAUACAUAAGUAUAUAUUGCUGCUACUGCUACGUAUACUAACUAACUAACUAACUAACUAAUCAAUACUGCUACGAGCUUAAUUGCUUAGCUACAAUUGGCAACCAACCAUGAAUCUAAUUAAUCCAUGAUAUGAUAUGAUGAUGCGAGAACUCUCUUCGAGAUCUUACUCUACUAUAUCUUCCUCGAUCAGCCUCCAUCGAUUGGCACCAAGGCAGGCAGGCCGGCCGGCUGCCGGCUUCGUUCUUCCCAUGCAUCGAUCGCACCGGCAUGUCGUCGUCGUCGUCAGGGAUGGCUUUGGUCCUGCGCUCCGAUGGAGUUGUGCUGCCGCGAGGGGCCCGACGGCGGCACGGGCCCCCGCGGCAAGAACCCCAGGAAAUGGUUGGCGCUGCCUGCCUCCAGUGGCUUCCCCCUGAACGGCUGCAUGCCUCGCGUCGCCUGGCAGCAGCUCGGCACCAGCAGCAGGAGGACCAGAAACACCAGCACCAGCCUCCGCCACGGCGGCUGCUGUGUUAAUGAUGGUCGCCGCCGCGUCGUCGUCGUCGUCCGGCUGCUGCUGCUGCUACUACAGCCUACUCCCCCUCCUGCUUGGAAACAGCAGGAUCCGGCCAUGGCAGAUCGAGCGGCAGCAGCACCCGGCCGGGGAGCUCUCGCUAACCCUGAGGCGGGCGUCAAUGGACUAGCUGUGGUGGGCGUGGUGAGCAAAUGGCGAGGAGAGGGAGAAGGGAGGUGGUGAUAUAGGGAGGGGGUGGGGUAUGAUAUGGUAUGGAAGUCCUGGGGAUGAUGAGACGCAGCAGACGCUGUGUGACAAGGCAAAGAGGGGGCCGGUCGUUGUUGGAUUUAAAUUUUUAUACCAGUUGCAUUUUAUAGCAUGGUGUGGACGACGAUGGAGUUGUUCAAACUUCAUGUCAUGUACCCAGCCCGGGGGAAGAAAAUAGGGGGAUGUCGAUCUAUCCUAUCCAACAGAUUUUCCAACAGGUACCGGCAAAAUGCACCCCGUUGAAAAAUGGUGCCAUGCACGUCCGUCCUGUUGUUCCUUGGAACUAUCUAGCUGUUUUUUGUUGACUAUUGGUCUAAACUCGUUUCAAAUAAGUUUUAUUUUUUUGAGUGAAAUUUCAAAGAUUUAUAAACCAUAACAGCUAUAUAUGGAUAUUAAAAGCCCACUAUAGCUCUCCUUUUUUAGAAUUUGUGAAACACUGAAACGAGACAAAAAUUCUUUUUUUUUUCUCAAAAGGACAGAGAGAAGUUUGACGCAAUUUAUAUCAGAAGGAUAGGAUAAAAACAAGAGCCGGUGUAGUUUUUUGAGUGGAAACCAGACAAAAAAACUGCACAACUAGAGGGAUGUGCCCACACACACACACACCACUCUCACAACUUCAAAACAACAACGACCAACUAACUACUCAAGCUUCUCUACUCGGUCAAAAGAGCCAGCUUGGUGUUGAAAUGCAAUCCAAAUACAUACCUCUUUUUUUUCAGAACUUGUGAAACAAGAAAAAAAUUCUUAUGAUACUAAUUAAGACUCCUGACCGUGUUUUCAACUUUUUUUCUAUGUAAUUAAUUGGCCUAAAAAAGGUUGCUUACAAGGCAAUUGGUUUUAAUAUGUCUAGCUGUUACAUUUUACUUUACAACUUGGAGCUUGUUUAUUUGAAGAGACCGUGGUUUAAUCUUCAAUGCUUUAUUUCCUGAGAAAAAUGUAAAAGUCAUUAUUAGGUUGCUAAAACAUCAGCAUUCUUGUGUAUCCCACGUUUUUAUGUUGCUUCCUUUUAUGAGAGGAGCAUAACCAUACAUUUCUAAUAAAGUUUUAGCUUUACCAUGUACUGGGUACUGCCAAUAUUGACCGAUGCAUGCACGUAACCUAAGCCAAAACACUGACUCCCACUGAUCAAACCUUUAUUACCCUCAAGCACCGGCUACUACUAUAGAGUGAAUAAGGCAUAGGAACCGGGAUGAUAUGUCAUCCAAAUCCAAGCAUAGAAGAAUAAGAAGUAGGCUACAUAGAUUGUUGAAAAUUGUUUAGUAUAUAUUCUUCUUAAAUCUGUUUGUUUGUCAUAGUUUGAUGCUUUUCUUUUUCUGAAAGAAAUACUCCACAUAUUACUGUGCCUUUUUGGUUGCUGAAACAUCAACAUUCUCAUCGGAUAACCUUCUGAUAUAUGUAGGAUGCUUUCCUGUUUUUCUUUUUUUUUUCAGAAGAGAAUAUGCAUACGUUGAGAAAGUUGUGCUUUUAAUUUAAAGCUUUUAACUGAACAUGCAUAAGCAGGCAGGUGGAUCCAUGGCUGGGGAAACCAUGGCCGAAGCACCAUAUAUUGUGAAACCUUUGUUACGUUACUCUCAUAAAGCAUCGUUAAGUACCAUUAGAGCUCCUUAAAAUAAACCCCUAAUUGUUUUUUGGCAAAAACGAACCAACACUUUUGUAUCAAAAACUGUAAAAAUUAAUCUUUGAUAAACCUCCUCUCUAAAGAUAUGUGCUUGUGUUCCAUACAAACACAUUCAGCCUCCCACACGACGUCUCCCACUCUCCCUCCCUCUCUCUUUGUUUUCUUCCUUCCAUAUAGUUUUCUCCUUUAGUUGUCGUUGCCGACACCCUACAAUGCUCGUUCCACCAUGCAACCGGCUAAUUUGAUUUUUUUUAGCAACUAAAUUAUUACAAACAAUUGGAGAAAGACAACAUUUUUUCACGAUCAGGCCAUUCGCCUAUAUUUCAUUAAGAGGAUAAAAGUUUGCAAACCAUAGGAACCACACAUGGCGGCAAGAGUCCACCAAUGCGCAGCCUAAAACCAGCUAGCAACUAAGAAAACAGGUGGUGAUUAAAGAUUACAAAGUUUCCGACAGUUGCGACAAAAGAGAUGCUAAAACCAACACGGUUUUGAAGCCAGCCUGUGCCCAAUCAUCGAUCUCCCUACUUAGCUUGCCUAGCAGCUGCUGCGUUCCACUGCUUGACCUAGCGAACGUCCUAUCGUUGCGCUCCUUCUAUAAGGUCCAAUAGACCAGCAACAUGAUUGAGUCGAAAGCCGGACGUGCUGCGUUGUCUGCUUGUUGUCAGAAGACAACAAUUAAACUAACUAUUAGAGAAAGAAAACAAUUAAACUAUAAUACUCAAUGUAUAUAGUCAGUGAUUUAGCAAGUGUUUUUUUUAAGAUUUUGGAGGUGCUCAUAGUUGUUUUGUGGCAAGGACACACCAAAUAACUAUUAGGGUUUUCUGGUUAUAAAAACAAAGGUAAGAAAAUAUACAAUUCUGUAAAACUUCAAAUAGAUUGGCCAAAGUACGACACGGCUAUAGGAUCAACAGUGUUUUAUUAAAAAAACAUAUUCAGUGAGAAACGCGUGGGAAAGAUACAAGACCAAGGGGGUGUACUGUUACUGCUACUUUGAAACCGGGCAACCGUGCCCCACACACAAAGUGUCAACAGUCUGAUGAAGAAGAGCUCAAGAACAGAUUGCCCUUGUUUUGUGGGUGGCAUGCUACCUGUUUGCCGUGCCGUGCGCCCCAAUUAUUGCGACCGGAACAAGAAGUGACAACGAAGAAAACUCGAUCAAGAUUGGGAGAAAAUUCGUCGCCAGACCUGGGGUGCAGAUUUGUAGGUUCUUGCAAAAGUGUAGAUGUACCUACAGUAGUACGUCCUUGUGUGUAUGUAGAUGUAGGGUCUGUUUGGUUGGUUGGUCUAAUAGAGCCUGGCUAGCAAAUGUAGCCUGGGCAGCCCUGACCUGCUCCUAGGAAGGCAACCAUCGUGUGUUUGGUUGCGUACAAAGAUGAGGGUGGCUAAGUCGAGCGUGUGUUUGGUUGGUUGUGUUUUUUUCGAUAGAAUCACCGUACCUGAACACUGGUGAGUUUACCCUCAAAGAAGCAAUUCAUCGAACACCUUCCAGACCCAUUUCCCUCCCUCCCGUUCCGUCCCCGCCCCUGUCUCUCUCUUCUGCUUCCCCCCGCGCGCCGCCGCCCGCUGGUGAUCCCCGUCGCCGCGGACCACCACCAGCAGCAGCAGCCAUGUCGUGCUCCCACCUCUCCACCGCCUGGUCCUCCUCGUCGCUCGCCAGCAACGCCUCCACCACCCAGCGGCGCGGAAGCUCCGCCCCGCGCUCGGGCCUCGUGGUGCGGUGCUCCCUCCGCGAGCUCCGCACCCGCAUCGACUCCGUCAAGAACACGCAGAAGAUCACGGAGGCCAUGAAGCUGGUGGCGGCCGCCAAGGUCCGGCGCGCGCAGGAGGCCGUCGUCUCCUCCCGCCCCUUCUCGGAGGCGCUGCCCCCGAACCAGGAGAUCCAGACGGAGGACAUCGACCUGCCCCCGAACGCCUCCGACCUCACCCCGCCGCCCCCGCCGCUGCCGCAGCAGCAGCAGGCGGCCCCGGCCCUGGCACCUCGCCCGCCCCAGCGCGCGGGGCCCACACGCGGAGCCUCUCCUUGGACGCCGCUUCCUCCGUGGCGUGCUCCAGCUCAACCGGCGACGGGAGCUUCCUCCGUGGCGUGCUCCAGCUCGACCGGCGACGGGAGUUGGAGAAUGGGCGAGGAGAAGCGGAGCAGAGGAGACGAGCAGAGAAGGGGAGUGGAGAGGGUGACGGGAAGCACACGCGAGCUGGUCCAAGCCUGGCUCCAGAAAAACGGACCCCCUAUCCGUUUUCUGGGAGCCUAGCCAAGGCCUGUACGGCGGCCAGCGGUAGCCUGGCUAAAGCCCAAAACCAGGAAACCAAACAGCCCAAUAUUAGCCCCAGCUAGCCUGCCCAAGAGUUAGUCCGGCAACCAAACAGGCCC
rnacentral:lncRNA from 1 species